GAAACCAUAGCUCAGGCAGAGAGUAGUGGCCUUGCCUUUGCCCUUGCCCUUGCCCUUGCCCUUGCCCUUGCUCUUGCCCUUGCCCUUGCCCUUGCCCUUGUGAGGAAUCCUUGUUGAUUUUCAUUUUGCGCUUCUCCAGGAAGAGGAUGCAGUCGGUCAAUGCAAUGCUGAGGUCGUAAAGACAAUCCUUCAUUCCUGUCGACGGCGUGAGGCUUUUAGUUUCCAGAAGCUCUCGAAUUUGUAGAAAAUAAGAAUGGAGGGGGAUGUCAUGAGGUGGAAGGUGUUCCUCCUCUGCUUCUUCCAAUUCAUCCAUGAAUUUGUUCUUCAAAAACUGAAGAAUAUCUGCUGACAUUUUGGCUGUAAAAACCUAAUCUCCCAACUCUCACAAUUAAUAGACUGGACAAGUACACACAUGCUACGUAAGGCUUUUCUUGUUCAAAUGAAGAGAAUUUCUUGUGGUCUAAGGAAACGGACAAGAAUCCGAAAUAGAAAGAAAGAAAAAGAAAAGGAAGGAAAUUAAAGCAAAAGAAAGAUGUUUAUGCGGAUGCUUAUUUGUUUGACACUUCAAACUACAUGGAAUUCCCAUUGGUGAUGAUGCUGGGAAUUUGGAGGAUGAUUUUUUUAUGGGAUUAGGGAUUGUAUUAGGGAUGACAAUGGGCAAGUCUGAGAUGAAGAUUACGAUUUUUCAAUAAAAAAAUUGUUUGACAACUUUUUGUGAUAAUUUAUUUAAAUUAAUAAAAUUAUAUUUAUUAUUAAUCUAAUCAAAAUAAUUUUUUUAAUAUUAUAUUUUGGUUAAUUGUCCAAAACCUAAUCUGCUGACAUUUUGGCUGUAAAAACCUAAUCUCCAUCGGCAUAAGGGUUUUCUUGUUCAAAUGAAGAGAAUUUCUUGUGGUGUAAGGAAAAGACAAGCAUCCAAAGUAGAAAGAAAGAAAAAGAAAAAGGAAGGAAAUUAAAGCAAAAGAAAGAGGUUUAUGCCGAUGUUUACUUGUAUGACACUCCAAACUACAUGGAAUUCCCAUUGGUGAUGAUUCCGGGAAUUUAUUUCCAUUUUAAUUGUUUUUUUCCAUAAUUUAUGUCAAUUUACAUAUAUAUAUAUAUAUAUAUAGUUGUGUUUGAAGUUUACAAAAUUAAUCUUAAAAUUAUAGAAAAUGUAAAAUGUAAAUUAUUUUAUUGGUAUUUCAAUUUAAAAACAAAAAAAAAACAAAAAAAAUUUAACAAAAUGUAUGUGAAAAUAUUUUGUCCAAUAUUUCUAUAAAAUAUAAAUGAAAAUAGUAUUAUCGAUGCAAUCCUAUGUUUCUCACUUUAUUGUAUUCCUUACAAAUGAAUUUUUUUUUAUUAAGCUUUCAAAUUUAUUGUGACCCACCAAAAUAUACCAAAAAUGGUAUUUAUAUACCAAUUAAGAUUUUUUUUUUUUUUUGGCUAAACGUGACAAAAAAAUUAAAAUAGUAUUUAACUCACCUAUCAACCAUAGUUUGACAAAUGAAAAACAUACCAAAGUUGAGUGGAGGAUAUCAAAGAGGAAGAUUUGAGAAUGGAGUGAUGAAUGAGAAAUUUGAAGAAUUUUGUGGUGAUCAAUACAUUCCAAAGUUGAAGAUUUGAUUGUUAAAAUAAGAAAAUUUAUUUAUUAAAUCAUAUUAUUUUUUCAAUAUUUAAGGAAAUCAUUGGACCAACUUUCGAUCCCAUAUUGGGAAGGCCAGAUAACACAAAAUACCGAUUAUUAAUUUAUUUUAUUAUAACUUCAUAUGAAAAAUUAUAACAAUAGUAAAAGAAUGUAAAAUGAGAAAGAUACGAAGAAUAAUGUGAGAAAUGAACAAAAAAUGUGAGAAUUCUUCAUACCCUCUUCCAAUUUUUUAUUAUUUUUAUUUUUAAUUUCCAUCAAUUCUAACUUAGUUCCUAUUAUUAAACUAUUUUAUUGUCAUUUCAAGUAACAAAAAAAAAAGCUUAAAAUUAUUAAAAUUGUGAAAUUGUAAUCAAUCUUAAAAAUGAAAUUCAUGAGGAUCCAUAUAUCAAUGGUAGUUCUAACCAUGAUUCACGAUUUAUUUAUGAAAAAGUUUAAUGGUAUUUCAAAUGAAGAAGCGUGCAAAUAGGAAUUGAAUUGUACAGAUCAUGAAACAAAAACAUUUUACAACAUAUGCUAAAGCAAUUGGAUUUAGUGUUUAGAAAGAUGAUUUGAAACGUGAUAAGAAUGGAGGUAUUAUAUCUCCAAAGUGGGUUUGUUCUAAAGAAGGACAUCAAUUGGCCAAAUGUUUUCAAAAUGAAAAUCGACAAUGUGAGCCAAGAUCAUUGGCUAGAGUUGGUGUGAAGCUUCAUUUUGUAUUGGUGUGGACCCUGUAUUUCAGCUCAAUGUAUUCCCACUUGAUGACGAAACUCGCUUUUUUUUUUUCAUUUAUUUGGCAAAAAUUUGAUUUUUAGAAAAAGACUUGGAGUUGCCACUUAUUUUUGUUUUAUUUUUUUAAAGCGAAAACAAAAUAAUAAAGAAAACCCCUAAAUGUACUCCUUAUUUGGAAAAGUAGGUCUAUGACAAAUCGAGUCGAAGUUCGGGAGUCAGGUUACUUAUCAAGAAGGUAUAGUAAAUACCAUAGCACCCCUCUAAGUCCCUAAAAACGGGUUUCUACUAAUAAGGUGAAGCGAACAUGACAAUUGGUAAGAAAAUCAAUGGAUACCAAAGUUAUCACAAAUUAAAAGCAAGUCAUGACAAUGAAUAAAUAAACAAAGUGAGAGCGAGAGCGUACCUUGGUAGCAGGUAAUAAAGCGCUAUCAUGAAACAUAGUUAGCGCGCAAUAACAAAUAUAAAAUAUAUCUCAUGCAUAUCAAAGAUCAGAACAAAAACCAAACAAUAUUCAUUAGGCAUAGCAAUCAACAAUUAGAAGAGAAAUCUCAUAUGUAGGGCCCCCACUAAAGCCCAAUUUAUCUUACAUGAAUUGGUCUCACAAAUUUCAUUAUUUUGGAAUUAUGAAAAAAAAAAUUCAUUCUUACUUAUGAAAAAUCGAAAGAAAUGGAAGAUUAUUUGAAAACCGAAGUGGAAUUAAAACUAUUUCUAGAGAAAACUGGAUUUUUGAAAUUUAUUUGGAAAUUGGAGUCUUGGAAAUUAAAUUUAAGAAUUGGAAUUUUGGAGAUUAAAUUUGACAGAAAAUGGAAUUUUUAGAAUUAUAUGAGAAUUGGGGUUUUGAAAGUUAAAUUUAAGAAUUGGAGUUUUGGAAAUUAAAUUUGGGAGAAAUUGGGAGUUAAAAAAAUUGUUUGAGAAUUGGAGUUGUGAAAAUUAAAUUUAAGAAUUGGAGUUUUGGAAAUUAAAUUUGAAAGAAAUUGGAAGUUAAAAAAAAAAAAAAAUUGUUUGAGAAUUAGAGUUUUGAAAAUGGAACAUGUUAUAAAAAAAAUUAAAUUUAGAAAUUGGAACUUUAGAGAAUUAUGUAAAGAUAGAAUUUAAAAUAAAUAAAUAGAUAAAUAGAAUAAUAAUAGUAGUGAAAAUAAUAAUGAUUAAAUGAGUAAAUAUGAAAAUUGGAAUUUUAGAAAUUGGGAAUUAAAUUUGGGAAUUGGAAUUUUGAAGAAUUAUUUAAAGAUGAAAUUUUAAAAAAUAAAAUUAAAAAUAAAUAAAUAAUAAUAAUAAUAAUAAUAAUAAUAAUGAAAAUAAUGAUGAUUAAAUAAAUAAAUGUGAAAAUUGAAAUUUUGGAAAUUAGAAAUUAAAUUUGGAAAUCAAAAUUUUGAAGAAUUAUUUAAAGAUGAAAAUUUUAAAAAUAAAUGAAUAAAAUAAUAAUAAUAAUAAUAAUGAAAAUAAUGAUGAUUAAAUAAGUAAAUGUGAAAAUUGGAAUUUUAGAAAUUGGAAAUUAAAUUUAGAAAUUAGAAAAUUGGAAUUUCGGAAAUUGGAAAUUAAAUUUGGAAAUCAGAAUUUUGAAGAAUUAUUUAAAGAUGGAAUUUUUAAAAAAUAAAUAAAUUGAUAAUAAUAACAAAAAUAAUAAUGAUUAAAUAAAUAAAUGCGAAAAAAUGGAAUUUCAGAAAUUGAAAUUAAAUUCAGAAAUUGGAAAUUAAAUUCGGAAAUCAGAAUUUUGAAGAAUUAUUUGAGAACGGUAUUUUGGGAAAAUUAAAUUUUCAAGAUUGGAAUCUUGGGAAAUUAUUUUGAGAAUGAAAUUUCGAGAAAUUAAAGAAAUUGAAAUCUUGAAAAUUUAUUAUGAGAAUGGGAUUUCGGAAAAUCAAAUUUCGAAAGUUGGAAUCUUAAAGAAUUAUUUUGAGAAUGAAAUUUCAUAAAAUUAAAUUUCAAAAAUUGGAAUCUUGAAAAAUUAUUUUGAAAAUGGAAUUUCAGGAAAUUAAAGAAAUUGAAAUCUUGAAAAUUUAUUAUGAGAAUAUGAUUUCAGAAACUUAAAUUGCGAAAGUUGGAAUCUUAAAUAAUUAUUUUCGGAAUGGAAUUUCGAAAAUUGGAAUCUUAAAGAAUUAUUUUGGGUAUGGAAUUUCGGAAAAUUAAAUUUUGAAAAUUGGAAUCUUGAAAAAUUAUUUUGAGAAUGGAAUUUCGAAAAACUAAAGAAAUUGAAAUCUUGAAAAUUAAUCAUGAGAAUGGGAUUUCGGAAAAUUAAAUUUUGAAAGUUGGAAUCUUAAAAAAUUAUUUUGGGAAUGGAAUUUCGGAAAAUUGAAUUUCGAAAAUUGGAAUCCUAAAAAAUCAUUUUGAGAAUGAAAUUUUUAUAAGAGGCGAUUUAGGAGGAUGAUACGUGGCCUGACGAAAGGUGGCCAUGCAUAGCCAAACACUCCAACGUGUGCUUUAUUUUACAAUAUCAAAUUCAAAUCAAGCUUGUGGACCCCAUCCCAAAAUUCAUUUCUCCAUGUAUUAAAGCUUAUUCCCAUCUUGAUUGUGCUAGCCCCAGUACGUAGCAAACCCAUUUUCAUGUUGAAAAAAAUAUCAUACCCACACCAACAUGCCAUUUUCCAAUGCAUAUAUCUAUCAUAUUCACAUCAUAAACCCAUUUUUUAUGCAAUAUUCAAUGAGUGAAUCUUAUACUUGGGAUGUGGUUUGUGAACGACAAAGAGACCCAUCUUAUGUUUCUAGAGAGAGAAGAGUGGUGACGGGAAUGCAAAGAUGGGUAUGAGGGCUGAAAAAAAAUGGAGAUGGCCAUGCACUUGGGACUUCAUGCACGUGGAGAAUGGGAGGGAAAGGAACCAAAAGUAAGCUAGGUGGUGGGCAUGAAAGGUGGAAGGGUGGUGAGAUGAGAAAGGUGGUCAAUAUGAAGGCGAUUGCGUGCAUGGGAUUGGUGUUAAGUGUAGCCACGGGUAGUGAGAGAAAGUGAGAAAAAUAGGUUUAAUGGGUAUGGGAAAAAUGGAAAUGCAUAGGGGGCAUGAAGGACGGGUAUGGAGAUAGGUGAAUGGGGAAUGAAUGGGAAAGGUGGUAGAUAUGGUGUGAGGGAAAGUGGGCAUGAUAGGUACGGUAGGUGUGAAGCAAUGGGUUUGAUGGAGGAUAAGAUGGAUGAGAGAUGAAGGGUGAAGUGGGUUAGAGAGUAUUAAAGAUAUGGUGAUAUGCAUGGAAGGUUAGGAAAGAUGAGGUGGUGAGCUUAGGGGUGGGUAUGGUUACGGGCAUGGUGAUGGGCAUAAUGGAACAUGUGGGAUGGAGAUGAAUGGUGGAGACAUUUGCAAAGGCUUGUGUGGCCAUGCAUGGUCAUGCAAAAGUGGGGGGAAUGGGCUUAAUGGGUACGGAUAUGAGUGUGAUAGGUCGUGACGAGUGAUUAAUGGAGCGUGAUGAUAAAUGGAGAAAAAGGGUAAGAGAAGGGUGAAGGAUGGAGUGGGUUGGAGGGUUUGGGAUGAUAAGAACGGUGGUGAAUGCAAUGGGUGAGUUGGAAUGGUGCUGACAAAAUGGAUGAAGUCAUGCCACCUGGCUUCAAGUUUCAUCCCACGAACAACAUAUUGUAAAAGAGAGUUUCCUACUCCUAUUCAGUUUGAUGCCCCAUAAUGAAAAGCCUCAACUGACAUGUUUGCAUGGACAUCGAAUGGGAACUGUACACAAUCAAAACACCCAUUCAAUGCAGCCACAUGAAACCCCCAUCAUAACUACAUUUCUUUUAAGAACUUCCUUGAUCCCCACCAUGCUCAUGACAUAUUCAAGCUCUUUCUCGUCAGUACUGCCAUCCCAUGGUCUCGCAUCCCAGGGUCUCAUCAAAUACUAAGUAAUUCAAAUAAGCCUCAACUUCAUGCAAAGAGUAAAGUCGGUUUUAAAACUAGUCAAAUUAUGAAUUAUAUAAUUGAAUGGUGUUUUUUGCAUAAAGGAGUGUGAAUUCCAAAUUUACUUGAAGUAAUUCUUUAAAUUUUUAAAAAGUGGUUUUUAAAAAUUGGUCAAAUGCCUAUUUGAUGAAGAAAACGCUCUUUUAACUCUCUUUUCCCCUUAUUUAUGUAAAGAGAACACUUUUUGUAAGGUAGUGGUUUUUUUAUUUUAUAUUUUUUUUUAAUUCUAAAUAAAAUUGAAUUUAACUUAAUUCUAAAUAAAAUUUAAUAGUAUUAAGUUAUUUUUUAUUAUUUUAUUUCUAUUAAGUAUUAAUAGGGUGAGAGUUAUAUUAAGAUUAUGUUUUAAUUGUUUCAAAAAGUAGUUUUUAUGAUUCAAUAAAAAACUAAAUACUUUGUCUAUUUCUAUUUAGUAAAAAAAAAUUAAAAUAAAUAAUAAGUAAAAAAAAAUAGAUAAUCUAAAGUUUGAAAACAAAUUAGAUUUAACAUUAAAUUAAAGAAACAAACACCACCUAACUAAAAUCCCCUAUAACAUGUUGAUGUUUAUCAGUUCACAUAUUAUUCCAUGGAGUGAGAACUACCCAUAAGAAUUUCCAGUAUGUUUUCACAUUUUUAAUGAACAUCUAGUGAUGGCAUCUCUAAAAUCCAAUGGGUGAUAUGUAAAUAUAGCAAACUUCCCAAGGAAGAAAAGAGAUUGAAAUGACUCUGAUAAACUAUUUACCUUCUUCCUUCAAUUACUUUCCACUUUCAUUGUCAAACAUCAAUCUUGUUAGAAACCGUUUUGUAUUUUUAAUAAAAUAAAAUAAAAUAAAAAGUUUUUUUUUUUUUAAAUUGUGGCCCAUUUAAAUAUUAUUUUCCCUAAAAUAAAUGAAAUGUGGGGUCACAUCUCUUCUGGAGUAACCACCCAUGUCUUCAAACGUGAGACAUAUUACUCGGUUGAAAACUACCCUAAGUCUUCUUUGAUGGGAAGAAGAGAAAAGAAAAUAUAAAUAUACAGUAUUAAUUUCAAAAGUGGGAAAAAAGGUUCUCUAGUCUACAAGAAUAAGUUUGUGAGUUCUAUCAGUGUAUGGACAUAAGAUCUUGUAAGGACUAGCCAACUAAUCCCUAUUUUGUGUGAAUCUAAUUGUCAUGGUUGGAAGUACAAUCUUGAAUUUUCAUUUUAUUACUUGCCAAAAGGCGAGGUUUGACAUGGCAAUCUUCAGCACCAUGGAGGAUUAUCAAAUGUACAAGUAGAAGUUCGCUCAGAGGAAAGUGGUUCUAGGGAGAAAUAUCAAUUUCUCCCAACUACAGCAUUUCGGGUUUGAGGGUCUCUUCAGUCGGAUGGGUUGGCUGCCAGUAGUGACGAUUUUGGAGCUGAUUUUCCCGACUCUGGUGCGUGCAUUCUAUUUGAGGGGCACAUAUGGACUAGGUGGACCACUUAUUUCCACCAUUAGAAGAGUUGAGAUUCAGCUGGACCCGGAGAGUAUCUACCGUAUUUUUUACAUUGCUCCAGUCGGACUCAAGGUGUACGAGUCCAAUACUUGGCCUACUUUGCCUGGUUUCGAGCUUAGAGAGACCAUUCAAAGGAUGUACGGACUGACAGACACCCAGGGGAUGGGCAAACCAUUAGCUCACAGCCUGACCGUGUCUAGUAGAGUACUACACCACGUGAUCUGCUUCAUCUUGCUACGACGAGGUAGAUACCAAGACGAGGUCUCUUACCUUGAGGCCUCAUGGACUCGAUUCUGACGAGGAGACGGAUUCACUUGGGGUAUUUAAUGAUGAUGCACAUGAUUUCAUGUUACGAGAGCUCAACCCAUGUGCUCCCCUAUGGCCGCUUCCUCACUAAAGUAUUCAAGGAUGUUAGGGUCGAUUUGAGUAGAGAAAGAUUUUGAGGCCUCCAGCAUUUACGACACUUAUGAUGAGCAGUCCUUGGGAUGGAUGAAGUUUGAGAAGGUCCCCGAUGGCUCCUGGAUUAGGAAAGCAGAGCGACCACCAGCACAAGCCCGAGGACAGGGACAGGUGCAUCUCGGAGUAAAGGAGGAGGCAAAGAUUCAAGAUAUGGAGGGUGGGUUAGACCCUUAGAGAGGCUUUAAGUAGAGAGAACCCGAGCUUGACACCCCUCCACUCCAGUCAAAGGGUCUUCAGUUUGAGGCCACAUUUUCAGAGCCAAUGAUGUUUGAGCCGACAUACAUAGUGGGACCAUCUUCUCAGCCAUUAUUCACCUAGCCUCCUCACAUAGAGACAUCACCUCAUCAGGCACCUCACGCUCCUAAUCAUGCGCCUUGGAUGGAUUUAUUUGCUCAGAUUAGCUCACUUGACACUCACAUGGAAGGGCUUGAAGUAGUCAGUGAUACUCGAUUCUACUCCAUGGAGGAUCGCAUGGAUCACUAUCAAAUUGGCUUCACUUCUCAGUUUGAGUAUCUACAGUAGAGAUUUGAGCGUAUGGAGGAUCACAUGAAUCAGCAGCAGGCUGCAUUUGAUCAUCUCCAGCAAAGGAUUAAGCGCAUUGAGAGUCGCCAAGAGAGUCAGCAUGAGGAGAUGAUGGCUUACCUCCGCUCCAUGUUUCCACCUCCACCUCCUCAGCCGUGAUUUCACAGAGACCCCAUUCGUUUUUUUUUUAUGUUGCCAAAUGGGGAGAGAUAUUUAGGAUCUAGGAGACCUACAUGCAUAUCAUUGUCAUAUCAUUUAUUUGGAUUAGGUUAUAUGUUUAUGAUUCGUGUACAUUUGACUUUACCAUAUAUCUGAUAUGUUAUAUGUUUUCAUGACUUACACUGUUUCCUAUUGAAAAUUCACAUGUCUUGAUUAUCUUGGUUUUAAGUUGAUAAAUUUUGAUUGAUUGAUCCAUGAUUGGUUUGAGGGGGAGAUUUUUUCUUCUCCUAGAUAACCAAGGUUUAUCAUCAUAAAAAAUGGGGAGAUUGUUAGCCUAAUGAUUCUCUUAAUCAGGUUUUGAUGAUAACAAACCAUGGUUAAGUGACUAAUUGAUUUAAAUGGUAAAGAAUCCCAGGUAUAAAUUUGAAAAUUCAUCAAAGGACCAAAUGGAUACAAGAUCGAGACUUUUGGAAGACUUUUGAUCAUAUGAAACAAAUGUAAGAUGAUUGCAUGGGUGCACUUAGGUUUUUCAUAUCUUUCCAUGCAUCUUUGAAAACUCGGUUUAUUCUUUAAAAUUAAGAUUUCAUUAAAACUCAAGUUUUAUCAAAUGUACCUUAGGCAAAACAUUUCAAAAUUGGCAUAUUAAUUUACCUAAAGACCUUGCCUAAGUGUUAGAAAAGAAAAGAAGUGAAAAAUAUAGGUUUUUAGGGCCAAAAGGCUUAAUUGGUUGAGGCUCUGGCCAACCGACUCAACCUGUUGCGGAACCAGUCAACCGAUUGCCCUUGAUUGGUCGAGGUCAGGUCGAGAAGUGUCAAAAACACUUUCUCUUUUCCAGUAGCCUUCUCUUCCCGAUUGAAGUUUCCUCCUUCCUGGUCGACCGCUAGCUUGACCAGUUGAGGCUGUUUUUUGCUUUUCUUGGCUCUUGAGCUUAAAAACCUAUAAAUUGAGAGCUCCACUUCAUUUAUGAUAUAGAGAACACUUGCAAUCAAUUGUCUACCAACUUGUUCUUACCUUAAAAGCUCUCAUUUCUUUCUUAGUGCAUUAAAUCCUCACUUGCAUCUCUUUUAGUGCACCCUUGUGAGUCAUCCUAGCUUUGAUUUGUAUUCGAGCUAUCAUUGAGAUAGGUUGAGGGAUUCAUUCUUGUAAAAAUUGAGUAUUAAAGCCUUCAAAAAGUUUGAAUCUUGAAGAGAUUGUGUAAGAGCCCAUUGGAGCCGGAAUCCAAGUGUAAAGGAUUGGAAGCUUGGUUGAAGCUUCAAGCUAGUGGAACCCGCACUCGGUUAGGAGAUUGAGGAGAGUGGAUAUAGGUAAAAAAGUGUCGAACCACUAUAAAAUCCUAAUUUGAAUUCUCUAACUCUAUCUCUUUAUUUUUUAUUAUAUUGUGCUUGAAUUUGUUGUGCGGAAAAAGUUUUUGACAAACUCAAUACACCCCUCUCUUGGGUGUUUUUCUCAUUUAAGUAUAGCAUUUAUUUUCUCAACUAUCAUUAAAGGAAAGUAUAGAUAGACCUUGAUAGGCAACAAUUAGGUCUUAAUUUUUAAAAGAUUGGCACAUUUAAAAGAUUGACCAUGAUCAUGAGAUGUACAAUCAAAGUAAGUUGGAUGAAUGGUAAACUAAGUCUAUAAACUUAUUGAUUUGAGUAAGUAAUCCAUCUGGAAAAUAUGUUCUUGAUUGACUAUAUUUGAACACAACAAAUUUAAGCUUAAUACCACUAUCUGGAUUAGUCCCAUCUCUCUUCCAAAUAUGUUUAAGAGAUAGUGGUAAUGUUUUACAUUGACCUCAUCCUCAAUACUCUAAAGUUUAGGUUACGUUAGAAGCUAGUCCUCAAAGAUAUUUAUGAGAUGUAGGCUAUUGCUAGUUAAGUACUAAAAAGUCAUCUUGAAAGGUAGCUAGGCUACAUAAAAGUGAAAGGCAUGGAAUUCAAUCAUUGAGCUCAAGACGUGAUAAUUAACAAUCUUAUAUCAAGUCAUGUUUUGUCAGAGAAGACUUUGAGUCUUGUUUCGUAAAACUCAUUCUUCUUUUGCACUCUAAUUUCUCUUUUUUCUUUUUUCCUCUCAUCACUAUGCAUUAUUUUAACUAAAGAAUGAGUAUCUUAUAUAGUAUGUUCUAAUGCACAGAACUUGGGAAUUUUUUAGUUUUCUUGGAUAUAAGAUUUCUUAAAAUUUGAAAGAUAUUGUAGUCAAAGGAUAAAUGGUAAAGGAAUAAAUAUGUAAAUUUACUUUAAUUUCAAGUAAUUCUAAGAUUAUUAAGGUUAUGUUUGAUUGAUCGAAUAUAACAUAUAGUAGUAUAUGAUAUGAGAUAAUAAUAUAUGCUAUUAUUAUAUGUUUUGUUGACAAUGAAAUAAGAUGAACUAUCCCAUCAUUUAUAAUAUCUUAUAUAUUAGAAAUCAUAAAUUUACUUUUUUCAUCCAUUCGCUUCAUUUUUUUUAUUUUUUUUUCAAUUUUCUGUAUUACACAUUUUACAAAACAAAAAGUUAUGAUUAAAAAAAAAUUAAAUUUUUAGCUAAAAGAAGAAUUAAAAAAUAUUUAUAAAAUAUACCAUAAAUUAAUACUAAUAUAUGCAUGAUUUAAUAUAGCACUUGAUAUGUACAAUUUGUUUUAAUAUAUUUAACAACAUAAUAUAAUUUUUUUUCUUUAUAAAUUUUAAAUAUUUUAAUCAUGAACAUUAUUAUUAUUAUUAUAAAUUGCACAAUGAUUUACAAAUAAUAUCGAAUAAGUGAGAAAUUUCAAGCUUUUUUUUAAUAGCAACAAUUGUGAUGUAAUAUAAUUUUUAUUUUAAACAAAUAUUAAAUAUUAAAUUGGAAUAUAUUCUCCAUUCUAUUUUUUUUUUAUUUUUUUUGCAAAUCAAAUAUAAACAUCACAUAGAUCAUUGUUUAUAAUACCUUCACAUAUUAUUUUCACAGAAAUGUGAUAUCUAACUAUAUAUAUAUAUAUAUCCUAUCGGGUAAGGUUUGAUAAUUUUGAAGUAUGCAUAUUUUAGCGCAUCAUAUUCAAUCAACCAAACAUACCUUAAAAGUUAUGAGAAAUAAAGUUUGAUGAGAAUUUCAAUCCCAAUUUUAACCAAAAUUUGAAGUAGAAAUCCCAUAUUCAUCAUUUUUUUGGUGAAUUUAUUUUUAAGUUUAAAUGCCAGAAAAUCAAAUAAAAUUUAAAUGGAUUUAAAAAAUUUUAUUAAAUAAACAUAAAUAUGAAUUGAGUAGGAUCCAAUUUACAAAACAAAAUCAUUGAAAUAUGAAAGAUCACAAAUUAAACAAACCAAAACUAAUUCAUGUUUUCAAAAUUUUUAAAAUUGAUAAAAUGUAAAUUAAAAAAGAAGAAAAAAGAGAUAUUAUUGGGCCAGGCUUGGGCCAUCCGAUGAUAGCGGCGAGAUAGAAUUUUGGCUACUUGUCCAAGGCUUUAUAGAUUCCCUCUAGACGAACAGAUUCUAUUGUCCGAAAAUGCCAGUUAGGGGUCCGUUUGGGCAUCGACGCAAACCCUACCAAUCCAAAGCAUCUACUUCGAUGCACCGCUUUUAUUUUAUCUGUAUCCAAACGGGGACUUAGGACCUGCAUUUGGGAUGCAUUUCAUUUGCAUUUGCCCUCGAUUUAGCUUUCCUCCACCUUAUAUAAAUGUAUAAAAACCUUUUUUCCACCCAUUGGACUCCAUUCCCUGCUUCUACCCAACUCUAGGAAAAGCAGGCGCUUUGAGUUGAUCACUAUAGGUAAUCGUUUUCUUAUUUGUGUUUCUCUUUUCUUUGAUUUUGAUCGUUGAACAGGUUUGAUUCUCGGGACUUUGUUUUGAUCAUUUUUGGAUCUGCAAAAACAUCGACCUAUGCUUUUGUCUAAUACUGUUUGAUUUUAUUUUUUUCAUCUAUUGGGUGGAACAGGUUUAUUCGGUGGAUAUUUGCCUUUUCUGUUUGGUGUUUGUUUUCAAUCUGUGUUUUUUUCUGUUUGAUUGCCGAGAAAUGGUGAACAAUAAAUGGAAGUUUGAAUCCUAUCAGUUUUGAACUGGUUAUUGUGAGAUUCCAACUUUUUCUUUUGUUUUCCAACGAUUUCUCAGCAACCAAACGGGCAUGAAGUAUAGAGUUCAUCUUUGAUAUUUAUCUGGUUGUAGAUGUAGAUGAUCCAUAGGCUACUGGAUCAAGAUCUAGGGCUUUAUUGUGGAUAUUUGCUCAUUUUGCUUCAUUCAAUUUUUUAUUUUACCAUGUUUGGAUAGAGAAGAGGUUGAUAUGCAAAUCUGAAAAAAAAAAAAAGAAAAGAAAAGAAAAAAGAGCUGAAAGAAAAGCUGUUAGGAACCAAUAUUAAUUAUAAUUCUCUUUUGCUCAGUGCUUUGGUCCCUGCUUAGCACAGCCUUUCGGGUGCUGGAAAUCACUUCCACUUCCACUUCCACUUCCUUUGACUAUUCAAACUUGCUAUCAAGUCUCUAUUAAUGACUACAUUAAUUAUGUUGUGGCAAGUUUAGCAUUUGUGGGAUGCAUGUUUUAACUUUAGGGCAAGCUUUUUAAGGUUUUUUUAAUUGUAGGUACUAAAUGAAUAUUAGGACAUUUUGUUGUCAUAUUAUAACUUUCCCAAAAUAAUAUUAGGAUUAAGAGAUAUGUGAUAUUUUCUCCUCUCAAUAAUUGUUCACACACUAUAAAUCUUUGAAAGUUGCUUCAUGAUUUGCACUAAUUGUAGAGUGUUACCCUCAUUUUACUAAGAGUUAAAAGGUUUUAAUUGUAGAAACCACUAAUCUUGCAUUUUAUUAAUUAUCAUAUGUGGAAUUCCAAAAUUGGCAAUUAAUUAUUUUUAGAGUUUAUAUAAAUUUUUAGUAGUUUUGACUUUCAAACAGAUAAUAAAAUAUUGCAUUUGUCCCCCUUUUUUACUAUAGUAAUUCAAACUUCGAAAAAAAUUUAAAGAUGUAGCAGGUGGAAUAUGUGUCAAUAUGAACUCCAUUCUUCUUGCUAGCCCUUGAGAACCAGUUCAAUCUGCAUUAGAGACUAAUAGCUUUCAUUUUAUUAAAUUAGAAACACUAGUUUAUGGGUAGACUAUAUACAAUGGAAAGUAGGUCAUAGACCCAAGCACUUAGUGUCUCAUUGUAAUAUACACAAGUUAAUAGAGUGCAAUUAACUUUCUAUAGUGGAAUGUUGAGUCAAUUUCAAAAUUGAAUUAUAAGGGAAUCGAUACUAUCCUUGUGGGUCUUAAUGGUCCUUGCUCGAACUCAUAUAUCUUGAUGAUAUGGUUUAAGAGGGUUGAAUCGGUUUUUAGUUCACUUAUGUACAUAAAGGUGUUUUGAUGAUUGCGAAAGGUUGCACAAAAACUAAUGAACAAUAUCUCUUAACUAUGCUAAUUGAUUAAUUAGUCUCCUAUUGGAUUGUUAAUUAAUUAGGAUUCUUUUAGACUUGAUUAAAUAACUCAAGCCCAAGGUAGGCUCAAGUCUCUUAAGUGUAGAGGGAAGUCUAUAAAUUCCCCCAUAGGGAUUAGGGCUUUAGACUAAUGCCUCUUCCAUUUUUUCCUAUAUGUUUAUAUAGAGAAUCCUAGCCUCCAACCUUUAAAGAUCUCCACCAUCCAAUGCUAAGGCUCAAGGACAAAUGAUUGGGUGGAAAAUUAGUGGGUUUAGAAGACUUUCAACUACUACCGUGCACUCGACAAUGUUCUUGAUUGCAAAGAUCAAUUCUAGGAACAUUCGAAUUUUCGAUAAGCACUUCUAACCCGUAAUACUAGUUCCUAUUAAGUUUUGAAUGUUAUUGUUUCCAUUGUGCAUAAGGAUCUAGUGGCCCUAGGAAUAGUUGCAUACACCAAAUGAGAUUCAAGGCUUGAGAACAAAGUAAUUUGGGAUUCAUAAAAACUAGUUCAUAAAAGUUGUGUCUUUAAUGUUUCUCUUCUACACACAACUAUAUUUUUUCAAAUUUUCUUACUAAGCAAAUAGAUUCUAAAUCAUAUGAGACCAAAUCAAGUAAGACUUAAUGCUUUGAAUUCUUUAAUGGAUCUACUAAUUUUUAGAGUUUGCAAAGUAUAUAUAAACUUGGUUUAUUUAGGUAUUAAAAAAAUUGAAAAUUUUCUUGUUUUUAAAUAAAACUUGGCUUAUAUGAUAUUAAGAAAUUAUGAUUUUUUUUUUCAAUACAUUUCAAAUAAAAAAUUAUUAACCAAAAAAAAAAAAAAUCAAUUAUACCUUUAUGAAAAUGUUAAUAUUCAUAUUUCAUAAUAUAUACUACAAUAAUAUAUUUUUAAAAUAUAUAUAAAUUUUUUAUUUUAUUGUAAUAUUAAUAUUCACAUUUUAAUAAAAACUAUUUAUUUGUUUAUCGAUUUGAAAUUACAAUUUUUUUUAAUAAGACUUGAAUUAAAUUUAAUUAAUCUUAUAAAAAUUGAAUUAAUAUCUUAUAAAAUCAAAAUAGAAAAUAUUAUUUUUAAAAAAACUCAAAAAAUUAUCCAAACAAUUUUUUAUUUUAUUUUUUUCUCUUUAAAAAUGUUUUUAAAAAACACCUUUAUUUUUAGAAAAUACCAAAAGACUAUUUUUUGUUCUUUAACUUAAUAUAUAUAUAUAUAUAUAUAUAUAUAUAUAUAUAUAUAUAUAUAUAUAUAUAUAUAAUAAGUUCUUAAAAAAAUGCCAAAUAGACCCUUAGAUAUUUUUUAUAUAUACAAUAUUUAUGUUGGAAUUAAGCCCUAGAAAGGAUAACAUGAUGUAAUAGAUAUAGAUGCAUUUAUAAACUUAUUUAUUUUUGUUUCUUGGUUUCCUUUUAUUAACCCAUUUGCAUUAAUUGGUUAUUUGAGCAUUCAUGCCCCACAUCACUCAUAUUGUACAUAGUUUGGGUGUAUUAGGAGUUGCACAGAAGAUUCAAAUCAUAGGUUUCUUGUAGAGUGAUGAGUUGUUCAUUGUCAGUUUAUGGAUUUGGGUAAUCCAUCUGAAACUGUAAUAUACUACCUCCUAAUUAGAGGGAUGAUUUGUCUUGACCGUUAGGAUGGUUUUUACAUGGUGAGUGCACUAGUGUAUGUAAUGCGCAUUGGAUAGGACCUAUGGUGAAUCAUGACGUAAGGUUAUUAAUUAUCAUGAUUCACCAAGCUACUAUAUUGUAUGGACCCUUAACUUUGAGAGGAUAUUGAGUUUGUACCAAAGUCAACAUAAGACUUUGACCUAUGAGUGAGAUCCUGAGGGAGUCUUAUAUCCCUAUGUAUUGGGUCACAAUCGAUGGAAAAGUUUUCUAAAAAAAGGCAUCAUGAUAUCUCAUGGAUUGAGAUAGUGUGUUCCCUUGGGUGACAUAUUCCCUAAAAUACUAUAGUCAUAGCAUUUUUUUUAAUAGAAAUUUGACAUAUCUUCCUUGGAGUUAGAGUAUGUCAAUUGAUCAUAUAAUAAAUGAAAUCUAUAACUCAACUAUUAGAGAGGUAAUCUUGAUAGGUGAUAGCACUAUCUUAUUAAAUUAUGGACACCAAUUCAUGGGGAGUCUGCAUGUAGUGGAUAGUAGGUCACAAACUCAAGGUACGUCUCAUUGUUAUUUAUAUAAGGUAUUGAAGUAUAAUUGAUUCUCUUUAGUGGAAUGUUGAAUCAACUUCAAAAUUGGAUUUUGAGGGAGCCAAUACUCCUAUGGACGACCCCCCCCUAGUUCCUAUUCUAAGCUCAUAUACCAUGGUGACAUAGUUUAUGAGGGUUAAAUUGACUUUUGGUUUACUCUUGUGCAUAAGGGAAUUUUGGUAAUUGUGUAAGGCUACACAAGGGAUGGUAAACAAGUUAUUUGAAUUAAGCUAAUUGAUUAAUUAGAUGACUUUAUAUGGUUAAUUAAUCAAUUAAAACCCAUUUUAGAUUAAAUUAAGUGACCAAUCUUUGGUAGGCUCAAGUCACUUAAGCUUAGUAGGGGAACCCUAUAAACACCCCUUUAGAGGUUAGGGUUUCCUUCACUUUUGGAGAGAGAAUCGUCUUCCACCUCUAAAAAGAGAAAGCUUAGGAUUCCUCUAUCCAAAGCCCACACUUUAGAGUGUCAAGAUCGUGGUUCGAGUCAUCGAGCAAAAGAUCUUAGGUGUGCGAGACUUUCAAAUUCUUUGUUCUUCAUUUUCAUCGAGCAAAAUUGAUUUAGGAAUAUCUAAAUCAAAGGUAAGGUUUUUUAAUACUUUUCCUUUUGAUCCUAGAUUCAUAAAAAUAUGUUUUUUUUUUUUUUUUUUUUUUGCUUCCAUUGCAUAGGAUCUAGAGGCCUAAGGUAGUUUGCAUACACCUAUAUGAUCAAGGUAUGGUAAUGGAGAGGUCUAAGGUUUCCAACAAUUUACUAACUAUUUCUUCAUGUUCUUGGUCAUAGAAGUCUUGUAUUUCUACAAGUUGGAGUUCACUCUACUAUGUUUAUGAGCUAGAUACGUGUGAUUUGCCUUGUUUUUUUGCAUUGGACUAAGGUUUGGUUAAUAUCAUAUUAUGAGGAUAACAAAACAAGGCUUGAUUCUAAAGUUCUUCUUUAAUUGUAAUUGACAAGAAGAUUCCCUUGGAGUAAUCAAGAAAAAAACUAUAUGAAGUUGAAGAGGAAAUAAAAAACAAGAUUUAUCAUGAUUAUUUUUAGGUUCAUUUAUGCAAGAUUAUGGGUAUUCUAAGUUAGGAUUGCAUAUCAUUUAUUUAAACAUUCAAAACUCAUCUAAUUGAACUCAAACUUACCUUAAAUUUCAAAAUUGGAUAAAAACUUUUUUAAAUGAAAAUCACCUUUGUAAUUGAUGUAUAAAACGUUUUCAAAGUCAUAAGGAGUUUGUUUAGGCUUUCCCUAUUGUUUUUAAGCUAAAAAAAUUGAAGUUUUCAUAGAAUCUUGGAAAAUUAGAUCAAUAGGUGGAUCUAUAGAUGGUUGAGGAGCAUAUUGACCUAUGGUCAAUCUAUUGAGGGGAUUUGAUCUCCAAUCUUGGCGUUGGCUACCAUUUGAGGUUGAACUUCAACUAAACAAUCUUAACAAUGGUUCCCUUUGAUUUCAAUAGGUUAGUUUGGUUCUCAUAAAAUACUAAGAAAAGAAGAAAAAAAAAUGUUAAAGAAAAUUAUUUUCUCCUUUUUGGUUGUACCAUGUAAAAUAUGAAAAUAUGUAUAUAUCUAUAUAUAUAUAUAUAAUUAAAAUAAGUUAAAAAAUUAUGUAUUUUCAAAUUAUUUAAUUUUUAUAUGGAGGAGUUAAAAUAAGUGAAAUAAAUUUGAAAUAUCAUAUAAAAAUAAUUUAUUAACUUUAAUUUUUGUUUUUUUUUAAAAAAAAUUCUUUAUUGUUUCUUUCUUCUAUUUUUCCUCUCUAUUUUCUUUUCCUUCAAAAUUUUCAAGAAUCAAACAUAGCCUUAAGUUCAUUUAACUUUCUAAAUAAACAAUCUAGCUUUUCUAGGUAUUGAUCAAUCAUCUUCCUAUGACAAGUUUUGACAACGAGACAUACUUGAGACCAGUAAUAACAUUAGCCUUAGAUAGAGUGUUGUCUUAUACUUUUUAAGUUAUUUAAACAUGAGAAUGAAUGAGAAAAAUAAUAAGAUAUCCAUUACUAUUCCUUAUUUCCUUGUAUCAAACACGCCUUUAGGGUAAAACUCUCAUAAAAUAAUAUUCUUAGGGUUGAGAACCAAAAGAAAAUAGUCUCAUUAGUUUCUGAGUAUCAUUACCCAAUAAUAUGGCUAAUUAACAGUAAAAAAAAGGUCUUCAAUAAUCAACCCUAGAAGCUCAUUGAUUCCUAUUUUGAUAGACUAAUAUAUUUCGUAAGAGGAAACAGUUUAAACAGACAUGCCUAACUAACGAUGAUCGUACUCCUAGAAAAGGAGAAAAGGAGAACACAAAACAGAUUGAGAACCCAAACUUUUCUAGUUGACCAAGCACUGUUUCACCUCUAGGUGUUUAACCAAAUUUCAAAGCCUUCAAUCACCAAGCUAGGUAACUUCAACUCCAGCAAUGUCUAAAAUUUGAUUGUACAUCAUUGUUGAUCUAUGAUUAAAAAAAGAAACAAAAACAACAAAAAGCACCAGUUUAGAUUUUAGUAAAGUCCACACAAAGAAGGCAACAACGUUAAAAGACAUUACAUAUGUGCCUAGGGCACUUGGGUUCUGCUAAUUCAACUCAGCUACAUGGGUGAUUCUGCCAAUCCUAUUUCUAAAUUCCUAAAACAUGUUACAUGAUCCAACUUACUCUUUUAGGUUCUGCUACUAAUCAUAUUACUGCCGGAGCUGCAUCUCUGUCUCACUUUUCCAAGAAGCAUGAGAUGACUGCCCUUUCAUCCUCUUGUUCUUCUCCUUUUCUUUGAUGGUUGAUCCCUUCUUCUUGUCAGUCUCUUUAUUUGCAUCUGCAAGUGGGCGAUCCCCACAUUGUGGGCAGACCAUUCCUCGCUCACUGGAGUAUGUCUUGGGUAUUCCACAUCGCAUACACAUCCUACAACCAAAACCAGAAUUGAGAUUGAUAGGUUGAUAAAUAGCUAGAUAGAUGGGGUUGUGUUCAUUAACUUGGGCUACCCAUUGACAAAAAAGCAAUGAUGAUGCACCUCAGAAGUUCAGCAGCAUCUUCUGCAUUAGGAUUAGCAGCAGUUGCCACCCGCUUCCCUUCCCCUUGUGUUGUGCUCAAAGAACCCUUUGGAGGUUGAACUGAUGAUUUUGGAGCAAGGUUACCCUCAAUAUCACUUCUCACUCUCUCAUGAUCUAAGGGAUAACAUUAAAUCAAGACAAAAACCAUUUUCUUACAGAGGAACAAAACAAUAAAUUGAGACAGAAGCGCAUAAGAGCUGAAUCUAUCUCUCAACACCGAAAACAUAUGGUCAAUAGUUUGAAACACAUAAUUCUUAGGAAUUUAAAACCCAUAAUUAGUCUGGGCAAUGGAUUUUAUUUUUUCGCGUUUUUCUUUAUCAUUUUCCCCAGCCUGAAUGCCUUCAACAAAUUAGCAGGUGAAGCAACACUAUCAGAAAUAUGCACCACACUGAAGAAUCCCAUCAAUUCUGCCAUUGCAAAGGAAAUAUUUGGUGAGAGAAGAGCUAGAAGAUUGUGCAGCAACUGCAUCUCAUGUGGAAAUUUAUGACUUACAAGGAAAGUAAUGGGAAUGGUGCACUUUCUGAGAUUCAGAAUUCUAGAACAGAUGUGUAGACCCCCAUUUGGGGCUUCAUCUCUCAGGCAGCCUGUUUUGACAAGUGUCGCAUUCCCAUAGGGCCACGUGUCGCCUCGUGGUUGGUGGUCAUAGAAUCAGAUAGUGGAAUUGAGGAACGAGUGAGAGUUUGACACGUGGCAUGGAGAUAUUCUGGCCGUUAGUGUGGAGCGUAUAUUUUUCUGUUAGAGGAGAUUCGUUGACAGGAAGGAGGUGGCCUUUUGGGUGCAGAGAUUGGCUGGUUACUAAAGGGGAUUCUAAAGAGAGAGUGGAGGCGGCGUUUCUGUGACAGAGUGGGGUGCUUUUUGAGAGGCUGGCUGGAGAUAUUUUGCAGGGAUUCUGGCAGAGCUAGAGGAGAGGAGACUGAGUGGAGGCGGCGUUUCUGUGACAGAGGGGGGGGGUGCUUUUUGAGAGGCUGGCUGGAGAUAUUUUGCAGGGAUUCUGGCAGAGCUAGAGGAGAGGAGACUGAUUUUCUGAGGUUGCUGGAGAGAGGAGUACGUUUCUGUUGUGGAGGAGCGUAUGAGGGAGAGAACCAGAGAGGGAGAACAUAGAGGUUUGAGGCUGCACAGGAGGGAGUUUUUCAGGGCUGUUUGACAGAGAUUUUGGGCGUGUUUUUGGCUAGCUGGAGCUGGAGAAGGAAGACGGCAGAGCACAGAGGAAAACCAAAGAGAAAUUAAAAGAAAACAGAGGGAAGAAAACGAGCAUCCUCAGGUACGUUAGCUUAACCACAUUUUGCUUGCCAUUGAUAUCUUUUGGGGUUGCUGUGACUAUGUGAUAAUGUAUCCAUGCUUUGUUCUUCAUAGAAAAUUUGUUUUAGAAUAAUCUGAUUCCUUUAUAGCUCUCAUUUGAAUGUUUGAGUCACAUGUUUGAGAUCUUAGUUCCCCCUGUUUUUUUUCCCACCCAUGUAUAAGCCCAUUGACUCCAGCAUGAAAUGGAGGUCGGGUCAGUGUUUUCUUUGGUUCAGUUGAUACUCUAUUUUUGUGCUUGCUCCCUUGCUGUUCAUGCUCUGUUCUCGAUGGCCAUUCAUACCCCUCCAAGGAGAAGAGUUUUUGGCCAGCAUUGCCUUGAUUUCUUUAUGGGCACAGUUUCUGAGCUUGGGUAGCAGUUGUUUCAUUUGUUCGUGAGAUUGCUGGGUUAUUUUGCUCAAAAAGAUUGGUGACGGCCAAAAAUCAGGGCAUUAGUGUUAUCUUUUGACUGUUGGUGGUUCAGGGUACAUAUUUGGGUCUUAGCAAGGGGCAAUGUUAUCUGCUAGUCAUCAGAUAUGAGACGCUAGCACUUUGAGAGCAUGGGUUGGAUGUUUAGCCAAGAGUGUUAGCAGAGAAGACGGGUGUUGUAGAAAAAUUGAAUUCACCUGAGGAGAGAGGAAAGUAUCCAAAAGCAGAAUCAAUUUAUGUACAGAUGUUUAUGGGGAUGGGCAACAUGUCAGCAAAUCAAUGGAUUAAUAGACUACUAUAAUACAUCCACUUCAAGAGAUUGGACUGGACGAGUGAAGAGCUUUAAAGCUGCAGGUAGCACUGGGGAUGGAUUGAUGCCUAUACUCCACAAAUUAGCACCUCCGGUGGCAUUAUUUUCUGCUCGGGGACCCAAUAUAAGAGGUUUCAACUUCCAAGAUGCGGAUCUUCUCAAACCAGAUAUUCUAGCUCCAGGUCCUCUCAUUUGGGCUGCCUGGUCUCCAAAUAGAACGGAUGAGGCCAAUUAUGUUGGGGAAGGGUUUGCAAUGGUCUCUAGAACUAGCAUGGGCAGCCCACACCAAGCUCCAAUAACUGCUUAGCUUCUGGUCCUGGCUUCCUGUGCUUCUCUUGAAGGGUGAAAUGAUAGCUUUGCUCCAUAUUCCUUCAGAUCCAUUGAAGAACCUCCACAGGAUUAUGGGUAUUCUGGAGUAUCACGCUGACUACUACUGGAAGGUGGGUAUGCUGCCAAUAUUCCUCUAUCGAUUGAGGUUCAAUGCCACUCUCAAGGUUAUGGGAACUCACGUGGCUAUUACUGUAAAUGGAUCAAACUGCCACUUUGAACUGAAUGUAUUCAAGUCAGUGAUUGCUAGUGGUUUCCCAAUAUCGAUCAGGUUGCUAGGUGAUGUAUCCGCUUUUUAGGAAGAGAGUUGUUGAAAGAUGGGCAAUGAUGACAGGAGAAGAAGACGACUGUAGCAGCAGGUUUUUGAAGAAGCAUCUCUUUGAGAAUUUGUUAAAGCAUCCAGAGUUCAUGACAAAUACUAAAUUGGCUAUAAGUGAAACAUAUCAACAAGCUGACAUGAUUUUUGUCUGGAUACUGAAAGAGAUACUUACCGAGAUGAUGGUUCUACUGCUCCCACAGCAGUGCUUGUUGGUAACCAUCUCUAUGUUGCCAAUGUUGAAGAUUUGAGGGGAUCACCAGCGAAUAAAGUGCAACAUUUCCCUGUUGAGGAUGUUCCUCCAGUUCUUCUAUGUCAAGAUACCCAUCAGAUCUCCUGGACAGGAAUCAGUCAUCUCGUUUGUCAAACUUUGGUGGAUCACAAAUUUCAGCACACUAUAAUCCUUAUGCAUCUACUCUUGAACAGGCACUUAGCUCCAAAUUCAGUUCUAAUGUUUUCAGACAAGAGAGGACCUGCGAGCAGGAGAAACCAGCCUUGAAGAGGAAGAACCAGAGAGUGAAGGAAAUCCCACCUGGCUCGUAAAGCUGCAUGAGAUCCCAACCCAUUGACAAAGAACCAAGUCAUACUCGGACCAUAUGCCAAGGACCCUAGUUGGAUCGCUCAUAAUGGUUGCUUUCAAUGCGAGAAGGGAUAGGUCAUCAGAGUUGAAAGAAGAAGAAAGCAUCUUAGUGAGGGCAGCAGAAUAAUCCCUGCGCUGAUAGAUGGCAGCGCGCUACUGGUUUCCGAAAAGAAGAGACGACGUUGGAGUGCAUUCCUACAUGGGUGGUGGCGGCUAUCUGCACCGUCAUUGUCACCAUUCCUCCUACUGUCAAGCGCCUGCCGCACUUUCUUGACAAAUACUUGAAGAAGUCCAGAUGUGGAAGGGCGUGACACUUUUUGAGAGAGAAUUGGAGGAGCCAGAGCCAACUAUUGCGUGGAUACUAUCCAGCGACUUGAUUCCCCCCAGCUCUUCGAUUCCUGGCUUGACUGCAUCAAAGAGGGUCAAACGGAAGUGGAGUUUGAUUGAUGGCACCAGGGGUCAGCAAGUUGGUUCUUCACUGGCUCUUGGGCUAGGGCGUUCAUCAAGUCCCUCAGACAACAAAGGGAGUUCAGCCACUGCUUGCACUACAAUGCCCUCAGCCAAAGAAAAUGAAGAAGAGUCCUCUACAAACCCUGAAUUGGACUUCACUCUGCGGCUUGGCAACGAACAAACACCCAGCCCAAAGAAAUAUGCUGACUCAAGUCUGAAAGCACUGGAACUGCAGACAGGUAUUGACCUGGAGUUGAGUCUCUCUACUGGGCCUGCCGAAUCCGAUAUCACUAGUGUCCAUGCAAGCUCUACUCUACUCCGCAAUGCCAUAGAUAUGCCAUUGAGAGUUGCCAGAGUUGUGCAUCUAGAUGAAGGCUCAACAUCAUAUCCAUGGAAACCAGGGACUUCUUCGUCAUUUCCAUUGAUAAAACCAUGGACACUAGAUUACAUUCUUACUUGAUUUUCCUUCAUAACCUUUCCACUUGUGCGUCAAUGUAUGGCCACCUAUGCAUGGCCACCUUUGACCCGAGUGCUAUCUUCCUUUUUACCAUCUUUAACUUAUUAAAAUCACUUUCCAAAUCCUUUUUUUCUUCAAAUAAGUUCCCGGGUUUUAGUUUUUAAAUAAUCCCAACUUCAAAUUUUCCCAUCCUUAGCAUUUUUCUUAAGUUCCAAAAAUCCGCUUUUUAAUAAAAUAGAUUGCCAUUUUCUCUUCGGCAAGUCUUCUUCACAUUUUCUUCGUCUUUUUUUAUGUUUUGAAAUAAAAGUGAAUUUAAAUUCCGUAAUUCUAAAUAAUGGAAUUUAUGGAAUUAAUUCAUGCAAAAAUAAACGAGCUUUGGUGGGGGCCCGACAUAAGUGAUUCUAUAAUUGAUUGAUUAAUUGAUCGAUUUAAUUGCCAUGUAUGAUUGAUUUAUCCUAUUCUCUAACGUGCAUGCUAUUAUCCCUAAAUUGUGCACUAACUCUCUCUUUUGGUAGCACUUGGUGGCUCGUUGCCCAGGUACAUACCCACUUUCACUCUGGUCACCCUAUAUACAUGUAUUGAUUCUCACGCGUGCAUGAUUGAUUCGAGUUUUCAUUGAUUUCCUUAUUAGAUGUCAUAGUUGCUUCAUUUCAUUAGUAGAGACCCGACUUUAGGGACUUAAAGGGGUGUUACAGUCUUUAUCGUACCUUCCCAAUAAGUAACCUGACCCCCGAACUCGAUCUAGUUUUUCAUAGACCAUCUUUUCCAAAAUAAAGAGUCACACUUAGGGUUUUUCUUUUUUAUUUUGUUUACCCUUUAAAAAUAAAAUAAAAAUAAGUGGCGACUCCAAGUCAUUUUCUUAAUCAAUAAAAAUCAUUUUUUAAAUAAAAAUCGAGCUCGCCAUCGAAUGGGAAACGCAUGAGCUGAAAAUGCGGGGUCCACAAAAUGAUUUGAUUUAAGGCAUCUGAUGACAUUUUCCGAGAUUCAGAAUUCUAGAACAGAUAACUGAUUUAAGGCAUCUGAUGAUAAUUUGAAUUUCCAACACCCCAAAUCUCAAUCAGACAUAAAGCCCCAUAGUGUAUGAUUUAUUAUAUUAAAGGCUUUGAUGUAGCACAUCCCUCAACUGUUGAGCAAGGCUGCUUAUAAUCAAACAACAUUCUGGUUGAACUACAGUUGUACAUGUGAGAUGUAGAUGAAAACAAAGUGCACGAGUAGAUAACGAUAUGAGUGGUUAUGUCCUUUUAAGUGGUUUAAGGAUUGAAAAUAAAUGCACAAGCUUGUUGAAUUUCUGGACAAGCAAGGAAGAAGAUUAAAGAGUUUGGUAAUGGAGUAAAAAUAGGGAAAAGGUUUCUGAUUGAAGGUAGGGCUUCAGAAUAAAGUGCACCAAGUGGUGCUGGUUAUUUGUAGAGCAGGAUAUAUGGACAGCUUACCAUAAAAAUAAAUAAAUAAAUAAAUCAAGAAGAAAAGCAAAAGAAGAAGAUAGAAAACUUUCCAUAAGCCCAGUUAUCAAACCCAUCUCCUACUAAAAUUUAGAGACUUCCGAAAAAAAAGGAAUAAAUUAUCUAAUAACUACAUAAGAGCAUCGUAUCCACUAUGAAAGGUGGAUCCUUCAAUUUCACCAAAAAUAGCCGUAUUGACAUGAAAUGACAUGAGUGUGGGUGUAGUAUCCUUGUUGGAUACUCCUAUUUUACUUUAGAAGUGACUGAUUUUUUUUCAUUGAUAUCAUUUUAUUCUUUCAACUUUAUUGUUAAUAAUCAUAUUAGAGAAAAAGAAGAGUUAAUUGAAAAGUGAAUUAUUGAAAAAAAAAAUGAAGGAUAAGAGGAAAAAAAAGAAAUUAGAAGGAAAAUAUCACAGCUUUUAAAAAUAAUAUCUUCACUUCAUAUUUAUUCUUAAUUGAUUUUUCUUUUAUUAUGUCAUAUCCUAUAAUAGUGCCCCUUUCUGGAUCUUUUAGUCGAGUCCUCAUAUCCUAAAAUUGGUGAAGGAUCGGACACUUAGACACAUACCGGUAUCUGACAAUCAUACUUACAACCAUGCAACAUAGCUUAUCCAAAUAAAUAAACAGGGUGAACGAUGCAAAACAUUUUUAAUAUUGAAAGUGUAAAUUUUUCCAAAUCCGAGGAGCCAGGUAGGGUGAACGAUGCCCCAACUAGAGGUACUCUAUCUUGCGCUACCUAUUAUGGGAACCGUUGGUUUGACAGACCAACCCCCCCAGGAUUUCCUUUCCUUUUAGGCAAUUUUAUAGAUUUUUUAUUUUUGGUUCUUUUGAUAGGCAAACUAAGGCACAAGGAAAUUAAAAGGAUCAAUUUUUUACAUAUACCAAGUUCAGGUAACUAAAUCAGCCAAACAACAUUAUUUAAUACCAUAAUAUCUUUGGCUUGACAUUUCAAUGACUGUUACCACUUUUCAAAUCAAAUCCAAUUGCAAACAACAUAUUCAAUUCCCCGUCCAAAUGAAUAUCAAUGUAAAUUAGACAACUCAUCCAAGACCUUUACAGAACUGCCCCAGAAACCAGGUAACAUCAUCCAACAAUAUUGAAGAUGGUUCACUAAACCAUCAGUCAUCACUUCCUCUGAAUCAAAAGAACGAUUUAGAGAAGCAAGAUGCAGCUAAAUCUUAUAACAGCAAAGUUUGGGGCAUAGCUGGAGACAAUAAAUUGAGAGGUUAUGGUUGGUUCCCAAAAGAUUUAGGAGAAAAUGUGAGGGAAAAAAAAUAUAGAAGAAAAAUGAAAGAAAAAGUGAGAAAAUAAAAUUUAAAAUCAAUAAAUUAUUUUUUUCUAUUAUUCCAAACUCAUUUCACUUAUUUUAACUUUUUUAUAUAAAGAAAAAAGAAUUUACAUACGAGUUUUUAACUAUUUUAUAUUUUAUUUUCUUUCGCAUUUUCCAUUACAAUAAAACCAAAUACGAGAAAAUCAUUUUCUUUAAUGGUUUUUUCAUUCUUUAAUACUUCCCUAGAAUCAAACACAGUGGGGAUAUCCCGGGAAAGUGAGAAAAGUGACUUAAUCAGCUUAUUUUGGGCUCUCUGUGAAAGAUAAAGAACACUAAGAGAAAUUUAAAAGAAUCAUGUGUUAAUAAAAUAUUAAAUUUGUUGUACAUUGAGAUAGAUCAAGCAAGAAAUGCUCACACUACUAAUUUGGCAAACCAAAAAAGAUCAAGCAAUUAUAAAUUUAUCAAUAUUCUGCAAGAAAUUAAGGACCGUUUAGUGCUUGAAGUGACAAUAAUUUGUUUUCAGGAAUAGAGAAAAUGAAAAAUGACACAAAAACAUAAUUAGUACUUGUUUGUAUACACACCUUGUUUAUUUUUUUCAAAAAUAGAAAAUGGUAGUGUAGAUCCCCAAAUUGGGAUAUAUUUAAAGCAUUUUUUGCAAUUAGUUUUUGGCCAGGUGUCGCGCGCUUAGGCAGCCACGUGUCACUCCCGGAUUGGCUGUUGAAGAUUCAGAUGGACUUUUGAGGAACCAAUAGAAGCUUGACAAAGAGAAAAGAAAAAUGGAUGAAAAGACCGUGAGAAGAGAAACAGCUGGGGGCUCUGAAGCUGCAGGGGAGGCAGAGCUUUCUGGGCUGGCGGCUAGAGAGAGAUGAUUCAGGAAUAGCAGCGAGUGAGCUUUUUCUGCCAUCGGGAAGAGUGAGCAAAGGGGAGGUGAUUUGAGGUGGCUUCCUGGCCGUAAAGAAGGGAGACAUUUUUCAGCUGCAGAGGAGGUCUCUUUCCUAGGGGGUUGGAGGACUUUUUGGGGAAGCCAGAGGUUUGAACUUUCGGGAGAGGCCAGCUGUUGCAGGCAGGGAGAAAAAUUCAUUGAGAGAGUCGAAGCUCGGUUCUUGUGGUUUAAGGAGUCCAGGCCACUAGUAGCUUGCGGAGGAAAAGGAAAACAGAGGAAGAAAAGAAGAAGGAUCUUAGGCGAGAGGGUUGGCUGAGGAAGACACAAACUGAGAAAGAAGCGGGCUGGGAAGGUUUUUUUGAGAAGGGACUUUCCAGGUACGAACCCCAUAUUCACCAUUGUCCCUGUUUGUUAUUUUCUCUACUUUGUCUCCAGAUAUUAUUGUUUGUUUCAGGUAUGUAUAUCAGGCCAUAUUGUUAGCUUUCCUUGAUCUCUAGAAUAACCAUGGAUUUAUGAUCAUUAUUUUAUCAUCUUUCCCUCUUGGUUUUGUUGAAGAGUAAGCCGACUAUGUUUUUAGCUUCACUAUGAAAUAUCUCAGCAUUCAUUCCCAUAUAUUUGUAUGAACCUAUGGUCGUUCAAUCCGUUAGCAAGCUUGUUGAAUGAAGCAUGAAACGGGCUUUGCACGUUUUUUUAUUUAUUUAUUUUAUUAUUCCCAUUUUUGGUACUCUAUUCUUGCCGUUUCCUCUGUUACUGGAGGUGCAAAUGUCCCUGCAAUGAAUGAUCUUUUGGCACCAUUUGAGAUUGUUUUUGGAAGAUGAGACACCCAAUGGUGAUUUUUCUAUUGACCCAACCAAGGAAGACGUGAAGGAGACCUUUUUUUUUAACGGGACAUGAUGUCUCUCCUCUCGAUUGCUAUGCUGGGAAUAACAGAGUCCAAAUGAAGAUCCCAAGGGUAUUAUGUGCUGAUGGCAUUUGUGUUUUUUUAUGCUCAGUUUGUUGUGGGCAUUCCCUGCUUGCACGUGAUGCAUGCAUGCAUGGCCAUAUGGAACAUUUCAUCUUCCAUCUUCUCAAGAACCCAUCAUUCAUACCCAUUUCAUAAUUCCUAUUCACCAUAUUCCCAUGAAAACAUCUCACCAUUUUCCCAUCACCUUCAUGUCUAUAUUCCUAUUACUCAUAUUAUAUGUUCCACCGCUUCUCGUUUUAUAUCCCUCAUGCCUCAUGCACCACCUCUCACAACCAUUUCAUGCAUACCCAUUUCCCACUGACCAUUUCCUUCUCACCACCUUUCUCUCACUAGCUCGUUCCAUAUCACUCAUCCCAUGCAUGCACCCAUAGCCAUCAAACCCAUUGUUUCCUACCCAUUUUCCUUCCCAUCACCCUUUCUCUCACUAGCUCGUUCCAUAUCACUCAUCCCAUGCAUGCACCCAUAGCCAUCACCCUUCAUACCCAUGCAAACCAUCCAUUUUCAUACCCGGCUGCCCACCAUACCCAUGCUAUGCUCAUCUCCAUGGGAAUCCCAAAGUCACCCACCUACAUGCAUGGGAAUCGUGCAUGCAUGGCCACCCCCCAUGGUUGCCAUUCAUCAACACAUACCCAUGCUAACCUCCAUGAUUUAUUUACCACGCAUGAUCGUUUUGCUAUAUUCCAUGAUAUGUAUAUAAUCAUUCUGUGUUUAUUCACUAACCCCAUUCCAUGAUAGCGCAUUGUUGUUUGCUGCCCAGGUACGUAUUCACUCAUUCUGAUCAUUAGUUAUUCAUAUUCUGAUUCUCAUAUGUGCAUGAUAGUUCCGGGUAUUCACUGUUUUUCCUAAUCGAUUGCCAUGUCUGCUUCAUUUUAUUAGUAGAGACCUAUUUUAGGGGCUUAGAGGGGUGCUACGGUCUUUACCGUACGUUCCCGACAAGUAACCUGACCCCCGAACCCGAUCCGGUUUUUCACAGACCACCUUUUCCAAAAUAAGGAGUCACACUUAGGGUUUUUCUUUCUUAUUUUGUUUACCCUUUAAAAAUAAAACAAAAAUGAAUGGCGACUCCAAGUCAUUUUUCUUAAUCAAUAAAAUCAAUUUUUCAAAUAAAAUCGAGCUCGCCUUCGAGUGGGAAACGCAUGAGCCGAAAUACGGGGUCCACAGGUAGUAAUUUUCAUGUAUAAGAACUCUUCGAGACUUGCCUUAAAAAGAUGAUAACUUAAAAAACUGUUUAAACCAUUUGAGAUAUUAAAAAAAAUUUACUACCUCAAAUUUUAAAAAUUUUGAAGAAUAUAAGGUAAGUUCAUAAUUUUUAUAUAAGAGUUAAGUUUUUAUUUUUUAUUUUUGAAAUUAGAAAAUAUGAAAUGUAUCCAAACAAGCAAUAGGUAACACACUUUUAACAACUUUUUCAAAAACAUAUCCUAAAAUUGGUGCAAUUUUAGUUGCCCUAUGUUUGGUUAUUGGAAAUUUGAAGGAAAUGAGAGAGAAAGAAAAUAAAGAGGAAAAAAAAGUGAAAAAAAUAGAAUUAAAAUUAAUAAAAAAAUCAAACACGAGAAAAUCAUUUUUUUUUAUCAAUUUACUUGGGUUACAUUUGGAUCCUAGAAAGUAUGGAGGAACGAAAAAAAAAUGCUAAGGAAAAUAGUUUUCUCAUGAUUGAUUUCACUAUGGGAAAUAUGAAAGAAAAUAAAAUAUAAUUCAAAUUAGUUAAAAAUUUGUACAUUUUAAAAUUAUUUAAUCUUUAUAUAAUAGAGAAAAAUAAGUAAAAUAAAUUUAAAGAAACAUAUAAAAAUAAUUUAUUGACUUUGAACCUAUUUUUUAUUUAUUUUUAGUUCUUCUUUCCUUCCACUUUUCCUCUCGAUUUUCUUCUCCUUAAAUUUUCCCUCAAACUUUCCAGGAACCAAACAUAACCUUGGUAUUUUGCUAGAAUCAAAGAUAGCCUUAAAACCCUAAAACUUAUAUAUAAAAGUUUCAAGAAACAAGAAAUUUAACAAUAGAAACCAAUCUAGAAACAAACAUGUCCACCAUUCAAAUUUUCAAAACCAAGCAAACCUGAAUGUCCGACGAUCAGGUAGGAAAUGAACCAACCACAUUGAUUCCAAGGUCUAAUAAAAUCUCCAAUCAAAGAUGAAAGAACUUUGGACUAAAAGAAAUACCUAGAACCUGUGAUAAAAUUCCCACUUAUUUGCAGCAUGGGAAAAAAAGGAAAAAUUUUAAUCAAAAUUUCCACUUGUUUGCUGAAAAUACAUGGUACCAGAAAAGAAAUCAAGAAAUUGCAAUGAAAAUUCCCAUUUGGUUGCUGACAAAACAUGGGCAAAUGAAAGGAACUGAGAAGCUGUAAUCAGAAUUCAAUUUGUCGCUUAAAAAGGCAUAGAAAAAGAAAAAAAAACACGAGACUGUAAGAAAAAUUAUCACUUCAUUUUUCAGAAAAUGUGGAGAAGAGAAAAUAAAACAUCAAAUAGUAAUAAAUACAUACAUACAUACAUAUAUAUAUAUAUAUAUAUAUAUAUAUAUAUAUAUAUAUAUAUAUAUAUAUAUAUAUAUAUUUAAGCGUAUUUCAAAAAAGUCCUUAAGAUAAUUAAGAGGACACACCUACCCUAAUCAAUAGUGACCCAAUCCAUAGGGAAUAUAAAGGUCUUAACACUAUCUCAAUAUUCUAUCAUAGUUGAGAGAUUAUGUAGCAUAUUAGCUUGGUGAAAUCAUGAUUACUCGAUAGCCAACGUCACAAUGCACCAUACGUCUUGUCCAAUGUGUAACCAUACACACUAAUGUACUCAGUAUGGGAAACCUAUCUAAUGACAAAGACAAGUCAUCUCUCUAAUUAGAAGGUAAUGCAUUACAACCUCAAAUGAAUUGCUUAAGUCUAUGAACUAGGGGCUAAUUACUCAUCAAAAUACAAGGAACCAUGACUUCAAUUUUCUAUGCAAUACUUAAUGCACCUAAAUUAUGUAUAUUACAAAUGAUGCAAUCUUGAAUGCUAAAAUAAACCAUAAUGUAAAAGUGAGAUAGGAAAGUGAAUCUAAAAACUCAUAAAUACAUCAUGUCAUUCUUUCAAGGGCUCUAUCCUAACAAUUGAUGACCUACCAAAUUAGAUGCAUGAAAUUCAAUAAUAGAAACUUGAACUUUGUAACCAUAUCUACAAUUUUAUAUCAAACCUUGUCAAAAUGGCUUAUGAAAAGUGAUUGAUAUUUCAAAAGAACAUAAAACUAAUGAUGGGAAAAAUGAAAUCAAAUAUCAAAAGCCAAAGUCAAUGACAAAUAGUUAUGUGAAGAACUUUGUGGUUAUGUAGAGUUCUCUCAUAUUCAAGAUUUCUUGUAGUUUACUUUGUCAAUCAUAUGGUUCUAAAGUUGGCGUUUCUUUAAAUUGGUACAAUAGUAACUUCAUCUUAACUAUUAGAGUUUCUCUCAUGUUGGUAAUUGCGUUGAUUUUUAUGAAAUCAUUAAAAUAUCCAUCAUAAGGUUGUAUAAUCGACAUUUCUAAAUCAAUACCAUAACAAAGAAGUUUAUAUAAAGAAACCUAAAUGGGUUUAUAGGUUAUAAAUGUAAGUGAAAUAUAAUUUCAUCAAUAUCCACCCAUCAAAUAUUUUUGGCUUUAUAUAUAUAUGCAUAUAAAGUUUUUAUCAUGUUAUCCUCAUAUAAAGGUUUAGCAUGAAAACCUCAAUGAAGAUUUCAACCUUGUUGAGAAGAUUCAAUUGGAGUAGGACUUAGCUUUGUGUUUGCUUUUUGAAGCAUUGCAAGCAUUUUGGUUUUACAUGAAUAAGAGAUUUCAACCAAGUAGUUGUUAUCAUCAAUAAGGAUAAGUUGUUUCCAUCUUGUCCCAUCAAAAUUCAUGCAAAUAUGCUUAGUUAUCCCUUUGUGAGUCUCAAAGCGAAUUUGGUGUGCCUGAAUUGAGAAGUAAACAAAGAAGAGGAAGAAGAAAAAAUAGAAGCUAGUUUAUACUUGAUAUUUGAAGAUGCAUCUUAUUAACAUGUUAGUUUCAUCAUCACUACCACUAUUAUAUAUCAAAACUAAAACUUCAAAUACUUUUUAAUAUUUAGCAUAACAUAUAAUUGUAACAAAAAUUAUAUGAUCAAUUUAGACAUGUUUUAGGCUUAGUUUGAUUAAGGAAAAUAUAUAUGCAUUGAACCAAUCUAUGCAAGACAAGUCCCAUGGAUAUUCAAAGGAAGAAAAAUUACAACCCCAAGAAGUUCAUCAUCUAUAAAAGAUGAUGUAAAGUUUCUCUGCAAAUUACAACCCCAUUAGAAUUUUCAAUAAAACAGUUAAUUAAGAAAGAUAAAGUUAGUUGCAUGAAAUUGAAAAAAAAAAAAAAAAAAAACGUUUCCAUUGUUCAUCUCUUUUGAUGUAAAACAAGACUUUCAAAAGCUCACCUUGUUUUUUCUCCUAAAAUUUGGCUUGCCCCAAGGGUCUAGUUCACUAGGGAAGCUAGGUAUGUUCAGACAAAUGAUUUACCUUAAGCUACAAAUAAGAAAGAAGUAAUUAAAAAUAUUAUUGAUGUUCAUUUAUCCGAGAACUAAAUGAUAACAAUAGAUCAAUUACAAAAAGUAGAAGUUAGAAAAAAUAGCCUUGGAAGAUAUAAUGUAAUUAAACUUUGUAUGGUCAUGUCAAGGAGGAUGGCAUUUUCAAUGACCAUUGUUGUUAAAUGAAAAAAAUAUAAAGCUGAAAAUAUAUUUGUUAUGAAUGUUAAGGAGGCUAUCUAGUAUCGAUGUAUUAAAGAAUUAGUAAAUAACAAAAAGCAUUUGAAAAUCAUUUCAUCAUUUGCUUUUAUUAUUAAGCAUGAAAAAUGAUCCACAAAUGGAUCAACUUUGUUGUCUGGAUAUUCUAAGGAUGGUCACAAUCUAUUUUAGUUUUUGAUUCAAAAUUUUAUUAAUGAAUUAAACUAUUAUAGAUCUUGCUUUUAAAUUACUUUUAUCUUCCUUAUCCUCACUCAACUUUAGUAUUUUAGCUAAUCUCUAAUACUUGUUCCCAAAUCUUCAUUAAGCUCCACUAGUUUAUCUAAUAUUCACUAACAAUUCCUUAUUAUUUGAACAUUUUACAUUCUUCAAGCCUAAAUUUAAAAGAAAAGCAACUCUAGAUGAAAGGUUUGACCAAUGCCCAUCCUUCAAGAAAAUGCCAAACGCAUUUCUUUUUCCUUGCAAUUUUAUUUUUUUUGUUCAAUUUUCUUAUGUUGAAAGAUGUUUCUUCAUUUUCAUGGUAGAAAUAGGUUAGACAUUCAUGAAUACUCAUCACUUCUACAUUAUUUAUUCUAGAUAAUUUCUCAACGUCAUCUUAUAUUUUAGAGGCACAUAUGCAUGUGACACACCAAUCCUAAGAUGGGGUGACACAUUGUUCUUGUUGGGAUUUUUUUCUUCUUAGAUCUUUAUUUGUUUUGAUUAUUGGAUUUUUGGAAUCAAACCUAGACAUAGAAAUCAUGAUUGCUUCAUUUUGAAUUUCAUGCAUAGAUUGUCUUCCAUGCAUUUAAAAGUCUCACUUUGAACAAUUUACAAUCCUAUAAUCUAAUCUUCUUGUUUUUAGCCAUGCUAUUUAAAUCUUUAUCUUAUAAAGUUUGAUUAGUUUUAAUAUUAUUUUAUUUACUUGUUUAUUUAUUCAUUGUUCAUAGUAUAUAGUUAUUAGAAUACUUUAUCCAAUUUUUCAUCUUACAAAGUUUAAUAGAUUUAGUAUUUACUUGUUUUUGUCAUACUUAGUUUCAUGUCAUUAGGAUGGUCUCCAUGCUAGUAAAAAAUUUAUCUUGCAAAGGUUGAUGAUGGUAUUUAAUUUGUUUUAGGUUUGUUGUAUUAGUUUAUUUCCCAUGCCAUUUAAAAAAAUCUUAUCUUGUAAAAGUUUGAUAGUUUUAACAUCUUCCUUUUUAUCGAUUUUUUUGGCCUAUUUGCCUUAGGAAUUUUAGUUAUUAUCUUGAGAUCCCAUGAUAUUUAAUUUAUGUUUGAUAGUUUUAACACCUACCCCUUUAUUGAUCUUAGCCUCAUUCCCUUAGAAAUUUUUAGUUAUUACAAAAUGCCAUGCUUAGUAUUAAUUAUUUUAGGUCAUCUUGUAUUGUUUAAUUUAUCAUGCUUAGGUUACUUCAAUUGUGUUAAUUGAUGUGCUUAUAAAUAAUAAUUAUUUUUUUUAUUAGUAUAUAUGUAUAUCUUUGAAUUACUUAGGCAAGUGUCCUUUAGUUUAUUUUAUUAAUUACAUGUUUAUAAAAUCCCAUGUUUAGUAUUAAUUAUUUUAGGUUAACUUGUAUUACUUAGUUUAUCAUGCCUAGGUUUAUUUUGAUUGAGUUAUUUGAUGUACUUAUAUGUUAUAAAUAUUGCUUUAAGAAUUUGUACGCAUAUUUUUGAGUCCUUUAUGUGAGUCUCCUUUAGUUUAUUUUAUCAAUCAUAAAAUCCCAUGUUUAGUUUUAAUUAGUUUAGGUUAUCUUGCAUUAUUUAGUUUAUCAUGUCUAGGUUAUUUUGAUUGUUAUUUGAUGCACUUAUAAAUAAUUGCUAUUGGACUAUUGAUUAGCAUAUAUGUUCUUGAGCUAUGUAGGUUAGUUCCCUUUAAUUUGUGUUGUUUUAUGCUUUCGCAGCCCCAUGUUGUAGUUUUAUAAACUCAGGUUAGCUUGUAUUCUUAGUUUUCUAUAUUUAGGUUCCUUUGUUAAUAUUGUUUUAUAUACUGUUUGUUAGUUUAUUUAUUAGAGAUUAGUAAAUGUUUUUAGGCUUAGUUUCCAUUAGUUUGUCAAGAUAAUUUUAUGCUUUCAAAAUCCAAUGUUUAGUUUUAUGAAUUUAGUAGUUUGUUAUGUUAAUUUUAUACUUUAAAAAAUCCCAUGUUUUAGUUUUGUAGUUUUAGUAUAAGCCUGUGUUCUAGCUUCUUAUGUUUAAGUGCCUUUGAAUUUGCUAUUUUAUGAUAUUUAGAUUAUAGAAAAUAAUGAAGUAUUUCUUGAUUAUUGUAAUUUAGUUCAUGUGCCUUGAAAAAUUUCUUAGAUUUUAGAAAAUAAUUAAAUAUUUCUUGAUUGUUGUAAUUUAGUUCAUGUGCCUUGAAAAUUUUCAUUUGUUAAAUUUGAUUAUUUUUGUUUUAUGAUAUUUAGGUUUUAGAUAAUAGUAGAUAUUUCAUGAUCGAUAAGUAAUGAGGUUAGUUUUUGAUACCUUCAUUUAUAGUUUGUAAUCUUUCAAAUUUUUUUUUUUUUUUCAGUUAACCUAUUACAUGUUAGUUUAUUCAAUAUUUCAUGUUUGUUAAUUUAUUUGAUGCAAGUUUGCCAAGUUUUCUUUAUUAAUUAAUUCUUUAAAAAUAUAUUGGUUGAUAGUGUGUAGUUCCUCAAGUUAAUUAGUUUUAUUAGUUAAUGUAUUGCAUAUUAGUUUAUUAAAAUACUUCAAGUUAGUUAAUUUAUUAGAUAAUUUUCCUUUUUAAUUAUUUUUUAAAAAAUGGUAUUGAAAAACUACCAAAAGUUUAAUAGGGAAUACCCAGAUAAGGUAAAUGGGGUGAUUAAAAAAUUUAAAUAAAUAUUUAUAUAUUAUACCAAAUUCUUUUAACCUAAUAGAAAUUAGGGGUAUCCCAAAUAACUAAAUGAGUUCUACCUAAAAUCUUUAGAUAUAUAAAAAAAACUGAUUUUUACCUUUUAGAAAUGUCAUGUGAUUAGUUAAAGAUAAAAUAAUAUAAUUAUUAAUGUUCAAAAUAUAUGCCAGGAGAUGUUAGGGAUGAUAAUAGUUACCAAAAUGACCACUCUAAUCUCAAUAACAACCUAACAAAUCAAUCAAAGGAAUUCAAUAUAAUCAAUCAGAAUAUAAGUAAGGAAUAUAAAGAUAUUCAAUGAGACAAAAGAUUUUUACAUAGAAAACCCCAACAAACAAUGGACAUAAAAAUCAUGAGGUUUAAGACCUACUAAUCUAAAUCCACUAUUUGAAAUCAAGUCACACAUAUUUACUUGACCACUUUACCCUAAAGACUUACUUUAUAGAACCUACAACCCAAUUCACGUCUACGAUGCAGUAACUUCCUAUUGCUCCUUAGUAGAUCCUUCAACCACUUCGAAGGGAUGAUAAUCUUCAACCUAAUAAUCAAAGAUCAAAUCUUUGAAUGAGAUAUCAAGAAUGAAAUGGCAUGUUAGGGUUUCUCUCUAGGAUCUCUAAAUCAACUAAAGCAAAAUCUCUAACCUUUAAUGGGUUAUCAGGGAGGUAUUUAUAAGCAAAAGCCUAAACAAUUUCAAUAUCUUAAGUUUCCAAAUUAGAGUUUGAGUGAAAUUCAUCCAAAAUCCGUUUCUAAACUCGAUAAUAUGCUCAUGACCGCUUAAGCAGACUUCAAACCGGUUGAGCGAACUCAAAACCACUUGAGCAGGAUUAAUUGCUCGAGUAGUCCUUGUUUCUUUUGAAAAGUCAUUUUAAAAUAUUUAGUAGGUAGAGAGCAUCUCACAUUAACCUCUUUGCCUUAAACUAUUAGGAUAGAGCCCUUAAAAGCAUGACAUGAUGUAACAAAAUUUGGAAUUCAUUAUUUAUUUAUUAAUAUUCUAGUUUCACUUUUAUCUAUCCUUAUUCCAUGUAUUGUACUUUAUGAGCAUUAUUGCCUACAUCUUUUGCAUUGUAUGUGAUUUGGGUGUAGUAGGAGUUGCAUGGAAGAUCCAAGUUAUAGGUUCCUUGCAAAUGGAUGACUUUUUCACAACUGGUUCAUAAGUCUAGGAAAUCCAUUAGAGCCUAUAGUGAACCACCUCCUAAUUGGAGGGAUAAUUGGUCUUGGCUAUUGGAAUGGAUUUCCCAUGGUGAGUGCACUAGUGUGUAUAGUUACACAUUGGAUUGGAUCUAUGGUAAGUCAUGACUUAAGGCUAUCAAGUAGUCUUGACCUCACUAAGUUGCCUCAUUGUGUCAUCUCUCAAUCUUGAGAGAAUAUUAAACUUGUGUUAAAGUUAGCAGUGGUUUUGACCUACAAAUGAGAUCGUAAGCUAAUCAUAUAUUCCUUAUGGAUUGGGCCACUGUUGUUGGAAACCGGUAGCAAUAGGUAUUCUCAAUGGAGGCGCCAUGAUAUCUAAUGGGAUUGAGACAAUGUGUCCCCUUGGGUGAUCAAAAUGAGGUGUUUUCACGGAAACUAUGGUCAUAGUAGUUCCUUAAGUGGAACUUGACAUAAGCUCUUUGAGAGCUAAGAUAUGUCAAUUGAACACACAAUGUGAGGAUCUAUAACUCAAGAAUAGUAAAGGUAGUCUUGAAAGGCUGAUAGCUUUCACCUUGUUAAACUAUGGACACUAGUUCAUGGGGAGAUUAAACACAAUGGAUAGGAUACUAGAGUUUAGUUGAUUCUUUAUAGUGGGAUGUUGAAUCAACUUUAGAAUUGAAUUAUAAGGGAGUCAAUACUCCUAUAGAUCCCAAUGGUACCCACUCUGAGCUCAUAUACCUUGUUGGCAUGGGUUAUGAGGGUUGGAUUGACUCUAGGUUCACUUUUGUGAAUAAAGGCGUUUUGGUAAUUAUGCAUGGUUGCAUAGGAGUAAAUGAACAAGGUCUUUGGAUUAGGCUUUAAUUAAUUAGUUAGUAGGCCUUAUUGGGUUGGUUAAUUAAUUAGGACCCAAUUUAGGCUAAAUUAAGUGACCUAAGCCCAUGUGUGCUCAAGUCACCUAAGCCUAGUUCCAAACUUUAUAAAUACCCCAUAGAGGUUAGGUUUCCAUAACCUUUUGUCUUCCACCAUCCAGAGACAAAGAGAGUCAUAACCUCCACCCUCCUUUCCUCUCCACUCAAAGUGUGCUAAAAACAAGGUUGAGUCAUUAGGUAGAAGCUUGUGGGUUUGUGAGAUUGCCAACAACUUCAAGGUCAUCUUCAAUACUUGGAAUUUAAGGUUUAGGAACAUCUAAACCUAAAGGUUAGUACUUUAACCCUAAAAAAUCAUUUUUGAAAAUUUGAGAUUGUUUUCAUUGCUUAAAUCUAAGAUUUUAACAUAGACAUGAAAAAUUCUUAAGACAAGAUUAGCAUACUUUUUAAGUUCAACUCUCGGACUAUGCAAGUAGGACCACUUUAGGUGAUUCAACUAUUUUAUAUCUAAAUUAACAAAGAUCCUUAAUAUCAAUAUUAUCAUGUGAAGAGUUCCAAUUUUAGGAUUGACCGCUCUUACUAUUAAAAUAUCUAGUCUUAUGUUUAAGAAAAUCCUCAUUCCUUAAUUCCUUUGCCCAAACCACUGUUGAAAUUCGCAAUGACCGAGAAUUGAGAUGGACUUUAAGAUGAUGAUGAAAGUCCAUACCCUUGAUAGGCUUAAUAUUGGAGGCUAUAGGCUUGCCUAUGAACUACUCUUACUUGAUCAUUUGAAUUGAUUAAGAGCUUUAGGGCUUUUGUAAUUACGAUGAUGAAUAAAUUAUCUUCUAUGUCUAAAAAAUUUUGAAAAUUUUUAUUUCAUAAAUUAGAAACAUUUUGUAAUAAGGCAAUGUGAACUUUUAAAAUUUUCAUCAAAAUAUUUUAUUGAAAAUUUAAUUUGAUAAGAAAUAUGCUCUCAAAUUCUAAAAUCUAUUUUCAUAAAAUUGUCAUUUACAUAAUUCCAAUUUGAAAAAUAUCUUAUCUUGGAAAUUUUUUCAAAGAAAUUUAUUUUCAUCAAAUUACUAAGUUUCCUUAAAUCAUUUUAGUAAUGUCCUUUAAUGAUAAAUUACUUCCUCUGAAAUUUUCCAAAAUAUUUAUUCCCAAAUUGGGAACUCUAAUAUAAUAAGAAACUUCAAUUUAUGAAAAUUUGAGAGCAUCUCCGAUAAGGAAAUAUGUAAUUUUGGAAGAUUCUAAAAAAAUGUUUUAAGAAAUUUGAAAAUCAUUAAGAAUAAUAAAAAAAAUAAACUUUAGCUCUCACGAUUAAAAAUUCCUCAUAAAACAUACUUUCCUUAUUUCUAUACCUUUUCAAUUUAAUAAAUAUUGUUAGAUUUGGAAUCUAAUUUGCAUACCAAUUUAUUUCAUUAAAAUGAUUAUAACUAUAAAUUCUAAUAAUAUUCUUAAAGAUAAAUUAUGCAUUUUAAACAAAGUUUCAAUUUUUUUUUAAUUGAGGAAUAGUGCAAUAAGAAAAUUUCUAAAAUUUGAAAAUAAAAAAUAAAAAUCCAAACAACACUUUAUCCAAUAAGGAAAACUUUAAUAAAAAUAUUUAAAAUCCUUGAGAAUAAUUUUAAAAAAGAAAAUUUUGCACUUUUGAUUUAAAUUUUAUUUUAACAAAAUUUAUUUCCUUAAUAUAUAGUAUUCAUAAAUUUAAUAAGUAAUAUCUUUUUGGACUCCAAUUUUCUCAAAAAUUUAUUUCCAUUAGAUUAUUAAGUUUGUUUUUUUUUGCAAAACAUAUAUAAUAGGAAAAAUAUACAUAUUAGGCAUAAAAAAUAUAAAAAAGAAAAUUCCAAUAAUUUCCCUCAGCCUUAAGGAUCCUAUCACAUACUUGGUAAGAUUUCUUGGGAUUUAAAAAUCCAAAUUUACCAAGAUACCCUUAUAACAAAAAUUACGGUUAGUAAAAACAAAAACCCUUAAAAUCUAGAAAACAAGUUAGUAUCGGUCGUUGUACAAAGGAGUGUUUGAGUGAGAGAAUGAGUGAGAGCGAGAGAGAGAUAGAGAGAGGAGGGUUAGGUUUUUUAAAAGACCACUAGUAUGAAAGGUAGAGUUUAUCCUCAAAACCCAAGGGGUUUAUAUAUACUCUCUUGUGAGCUCAAGUGACUUUGACCCAACUUGGGCUUAGGUCUUGAUCCAUCCCUUAAUGAACUCUAACUAAUUAAUUAAUUCAAUCUAGAAAAACUUAAAAUAAUUAAUUAUAAUUCUUAAGAAAUCUUUCACUUCUAUCAAAAUGUCCUUAUGCACAUAAAUGAUCAAUUUUCCAUAAAACUUUAAAACUUUAUGCUUAUAAAGACUAUGAGCUUGAGUGGGGCCCACUAAGACUCAUAGGAAAAUAUUUUCUUUUAGAAUCUAAUUCUAAAGUUGACUCAAUAUUCCACUAAAGAAAGUCAAUUGCACUUUCAUAACCUAUGACAUUACACUAAGAUGAAAAUUGAUUAAAUCCAAUUUAAUAAAUUUCUCAAGUUUGUGACCUUUAUCUAUUCGAGUUUGAACUAGGGUCCAUAAUCUAACAUAGUGAAAGCUAUUACACUCUUAAGAUUACGUCUACCAUCCUUGAGUCUCAAAUCCUCCUAUUAUAUGAUCAAAUUGACAUAAUAUAUCUCACAAAAAGUAUGAGUCAAGCUCUACUAAAGGAAUUACUAUGGUCCCGAAUUUUGGGCUAACAAGUGUUUAAGAUAACCUAAGAUGACACACUAUCUAAAAUAAAAUCUAUGAGAUAUCAUGGUACAUGUCUUAAGAAUGCCUACUAAUUAAUAGUGACCUAAUCCAUAGGGAAUAUAAAUACCUUAACACUAGCAUAGUAUUCUGUCAUGGUCUAGAGACUAUAUGACAUAGUAGCAUGAUGAAAUCAUGAUCACAUGAUAGUCAAUGUCACAAUUCACCAUAAAUCUUGUCUAAUGUGUAAUCAUACACACUAGUGCACUCAACAUGGAAAACCUAUCUAAUGAUAAAGGUAAGUCAUCUCUCUUAUUAGGAAGUAGUGUGCUAUAACCUUAAAUGAAUUACCUAUGUCCAUGAACUAGCUAUAAGCCACUCGUCAAAAUACAAAGAAUUCAUAACUUCAAUCUUUUGUGCAAGUCCUAAUACACCCAAGUUACAUAUAUUACAAUCAUGCAAUCCUGAAUGAUAAAAUAAACCAUAAUGUAAAAGUAAGAUGGUAAAGUGAAUCUAAAAACUCAUAAAUAUGUCAUGUCAUACUUUGAAGGACUCUAUCUCCACAAUUGAUAAUCUACCAAAUUAAAUGCAUGAAAUUCAAUAAUAAAAACUUGAACUUAGUAACCAAAUCUACAAUUUUAUGUAAGACCUUGUUAAAAUGGCUUAUGAAAAGUGAUUGAUAUUACAAAAGAAUAUAAAAUCAAUGAUGUGAAAUGGAUUUUCAAACUUACUAAUUGCUUUGGUUAUGUGACAAAUGAAAUUGAAUAUAAGAAAUCAAAGUCAAUGACAAAUGGUUAUGUGAAUAACAUCUUGGUUAUGUAGAGUUCUCCCAUAUUCAAGAUUUCUUAUAGUUUAAUUUGUCAAACAUAUGGUUAUGAAGUUGGCCUUUCUAUAAAUUUGUACAAUAGUAGUUUCACCUUGACUAUCAAAGUUUCUCUCAUUUUGGUAAUUGCUUCGAUUUUUAUGUAAUCACUAAAAUAUCCAUCAUAAGGUUGUACAAUCGAAUAUCUAAAUCAAUACCAUAACAAAGAAGUUUAUAUAAGGAAACCUAAAUAGGUUUAUAGUUUAUAAAUUUGUGAAAUAUGAUUUCAUCAAUAUCCUCCAUCAAAUCUUUUUGCUUGUAUAUACAUACAUGUAAAGAUUUUAUCAUGUUAUCCACAUAUAAAGGUUUAGUAGGAAAUCCUCAAUGAAGAUUUCAACCCUAUUGAGAAUAUUCAAUAGAUGUAGGACUUUUAGCUUUGUGUUUGCAUUUUGAAGUUGAAGUUGCAAGCAUUCUAGUUUUAGAUGAAUAAGAGAUUUCGAUCAUGUAGUUGUCAUCAUCAAUAGGGGUAUGUUGUUUCCAUUUCGUCCCAUCAAAACUCAUGUAAAUAUGCUUAGCUAUCCCUUUGCAAAGCUCAAAGCGAAUUUGGUGCACCUGAAUUGAGAAGUAAACAAGAAGAACAACAACAAAAAGUAGAAGUUAGUCUAUACUUGGACAUUUGAAGAUGGAUAUUAUUAACAUGUUGGUUUCAUCAUCACUACCACUAUUGUAAAUCAAAACUAAAACUUCAAAUAUUUAUCAAUAUUUAGCAUAACAUAUAGUUGUAACAAAAAUUAUAUGAUCAAUGUUUAAACAUGUUUUAAGCUUGGUUUAAUUGAGGAAAAUAUACAUGCAUAGAACUAACCUGUGCAAGACGAGUCCCAUGGCAAUUCAAAGGAAGAAACUUUUCCGCAUGCCAUGAAUCUCUAAAUCCUAUAAUCUCAAGAAGUCCAUCAUCCACAAAAGAUGAUGUAAAGUUUCUCUACAAAUUACAAUCCCAUUAGAAUUUUAUAAUAAAACUGUUAAACAAAGAAAGAUAAAGUUAGCUUGAAUAUAUAUAAAAGUUUCUAUUUUUCAUCUCUUUUGAUGUAAAACAAAACAUUCAAAAGCUUACCUCUUUUUUUCUCCUAAAAUUUGGUUUGCCCCAAGGGUCUAGUCCACCAGGGAAACUAGGCAUGUUAAGACAAACAAUUGAUCUUAUGCUACAAAUGAAAAAAAAAAACAAUUAGAAAUAUUAUUAAUGUUCAUUCAAAUGAGAACUAAAUACUAACAAUAGAUCAAUUACAAAAAGUAAAAGUCAAAAAAAAAAAAAAAAACAACAAAUAGCCUUGCAAGAUAUAAUAUAAUUAAAUUUUGUAUGGUCAUGUCAAGGAGAAUGACAUUUUCAAUGAAUGUUGUUGUAAAAUAUAUAAACCUGAAAAUAUAUUUCUUAUUCAUGUUAAGGAGGCUAUCUAGUAUUGAUGUAUUGAAGAAUUAGUAUACAACAAAAAGCAUUUGAAAAUCAUUUCAUCAUUUGCUUUUAUUAUUGACCAUGAAAAAUGAUCCACAACGAGAUCAACUUUGUUGUGUGGAUUUUCUUAAGGAUGGUCAUAAUCCAUUUUCGUUUUUGAGUUAAAAUUUUAUUGAUGAAUUAAAUAAUUUUAGGUCUUGCUUUUCUAUAAAUAACUUUGGUCUUCCUUAUCCUCACUCAACUUUAGUCUUUUAGCCGAUUUUUAAUAAUUGUUGUCAAAUCUUCAUUAAGCUCCACUAAUUUAUUUAAUAUUCAUUAAAAUUUACUUAUUCUUCAAGCAUUUUACAUUCUUUAAGCCUAAAUUUAAAAGAAAACCAACUCUAGAUGAAAAGUUUGACUAAUACCCAUCCUUAAAGAAAAUGUUAAACUCAUUUCUUUUUCCUUGCUAUAUCAUUUUUUUUUCUAUGUUGUAAGAUGUUUCUUCAUUUUCAUGGUGGAAAUAGGGCAUUCAUGAAUACUCAUCACAUCUACAUCAUUUAUUCUAAGAUAAUUUUUCAACCUUGUCUUAUAUCUUAGAGGCACAUAAGCAUGUGACACCAAACAAUUAAAAAAAAUAAAGAUGAUGUGACACAAAGAUGGAAGUUACAAUGUAUGUCAACCUCAAGACAAAACUGAUAGAAAAUAAUGUCAUUAUUUUACCUUCGAGGUAACUUUAACUUCUUCCAUUGAUGUUGUUGAUCCUUGAUUUUAACAAUUAUAGGCAAAGUAAUGUUCCUGCAUCAAUGAAGUUAUUCUUCUCAUAUUUUUUCAAAUAAUAAAAAUAAUAAUAUUAAUAUAGUAAAGAAAGUCUACACUUUUAAAUAUGAUUAUGGGAAAAAUACAUGAUCUACACCAUAACCAAUUAGAAAUGCUUGAACAACCUUAAUCAAUCUUAAUAAAUCACGUUAUGGUUUAAACAAACUUCAAGAAAUCAAUUGAACCCAUUCAUCUCAAGCUUCAGUUGAAGUAACAAAAUUCAAGGCUAUUACAUUAUUAUAUUUUCUCUUAGUAAUAUAUUAUAGUGUAAGUCUAUAUUAAUGAUAAAAUAAUUGUUGGCAACAGAUACAGUCACUUAUUCGCAUAUUUUUAGUUCAUUUUUCACUUAUUUUAAAAUUUCAAAUAGCAGUAUACUCCUUAUAGAAAAUAAAAGCAUUCUUACCUUUUGCUAACAUUCCAUCCAAAUUAAUUAGCAAGUUAAUAAUAUAUCCCAAAGUAUUCCAAAAUAGUAAACACCUACCCCUUGAUUAUUACACUAAAUUGGAAAAGUAUUAUAGAACAUAGAAAAUUAAUUAAAAAUAGUACUAUAAUAAUAUCAUAAUGAUAGGAAUUGUACAUCAAAAAGUUACCUUGGCCAUGAUUUAAAGUGAGAAUCACCAAAACAUUCUUGAGCAUCCAACCCUAAUACAAAUAUAAGAAAGAUAUAAUGUCAUAUAGUUAAAGCAUAGGGUACAAACAAUCAUCCUAUUCUUAUUGCAUGUAAUCUAAUGCACAAGGAGCUAAAUAUUAUCUGUAUCCUUGUUGUGCCUAAAUCUGUAAACAUUCCUAAAUUUAUUUGGCGUGGAAAAUGUUAGAAAUAUGUGGAGAAAGAAAAUAAAGGUAAGCAUGAUAAAUGAUUACUUAAAUGUAAGCAUUCAAGUCAUGUAAAAGACUUAAUGUGAUUUGUUCAUUACUAAAAUCAUAUUUUGCACUUGUUUAAAAUUGAAGACCAAGUUAUAUACUAUAGAUGAUAAAAAUGUGAUGACUAAACAAUGUGAAAAUCCAAGUAGAAUAAUCACAUAAAUUUGACCACCUAUAUAGAAUGAAUUUGAAACAUCCAUAUCUUACUUUUUAAGAGUACCAUAAAAAAAAUUAAAAUUUCUUGCCUUUUUUACUAAGACACCAAUAAGUUGAUUCUAACGUGAAAAAAUGAAAACCAAAUCAAAUCAAGUUUUAACUUAUUCUAGAUGAGGUCACAUAUUGACAACUCCACAUUUCGUAUAUAUGUAUACACACAUAUGUGCAUAUCUAAUUUCUUGUUAGUCUUUAUAAUUGGUUAAAUUUCUCAUUCACAAUCAAGUAUAUAUCAUCCAUAGAUCUCCUUCCAUGUGCAUAUAUAAAUUGGCUAACCCUCCUGAGUAUAAGCAAUGUGUGAGCCUACUAUGCAAAAUGCUAAUAAACUUUCCUUAGAAGCCUCUAAAAUGUUUGGUAUCAAUAUGGAAAUCAUCACUAUCUUUAUAUUAAUGGAGGUAUCAAUAUGGAAGCCUCUAAACUUUCCUUACAUAUUUCUUCAUAUUGGACUUUAAUCAUGAUGACAUAUUUACUUGUCUUCUAUUAGGAUAAAUCCCUUAAAAACAUGACAUGAUGUAAUAAUAAAUAGAUUUCAAUAUUAUUUAAAGAUGAUUUUGGUUUCACAUUCACUAUCAUUGUACAUGAGAAUACAAAAUGAGACAAACACAUGAGAUGGCUCAAAGAAAGAAAAAAAAUCUCUCUAAGAAAAAUAAAAAAAAUAAAAAGUACUCAAUAAAAUUAUCUCAAGUUGAGUGUUUUAACUAUAGAGGUAAAGGACACUUUCAUUUAGAUUUCCCUAUACCUAAAAAGAAAAAGAAAACAUUGCAAAUGACUUAGAGUGAUUUCGAGUCUAAUGAUAAUGAGUCUAUAGAAUCAACUAAAAGUGAAGAUAAUUGGUAAGGUCCAUCCUUAUUAUGAAGACAGUAGGUAGCCAUUUAAUUUGCCAUCUUAAGAAACCAAAUUUUAUUUUGGCUUUUAUUUGCUCCAUGCUGCCACUGCCAAAUUCCCAUUUUUAUACUAAUAAAAUCUUGCAUUUUUUCUUCCAAUAAGAGCCUACCUAUAUUUCAACUAAUGGAAGCAAUCAUUGGCCUUCAUUUAUUGCAUAUAAAUAACAAGCUUCUAGUGAUCAUUUGGUGAGACAAAAAAUUCCAACCAUUAAGAGUUGUGUAGAAAAGUGAGACAAAGAGAACACUAAGUGAUAAAAUUGUGAGUAUUACGAGCAUAUCCUGGGGUGUGUUAAACUCAAGUAAGGAUAAUACUUAAGUAAUAUUUUGUCCCAAUUUUAUCACAUAGUGAAUUCUUUUCUCAUCUUUGCCCAGUGGAGGUUUCCCUCAUUAUGAGGGUUUUAGCACGUAAAUUAGGUGUUCCUUUUUCUUUGUCACUUUUAUUUUCUGUGGAUUGGCACUGCCACCCAUUUACUAAUUUAAAUUUCUGAAGGUUGACAUAGCCACCUAACUACUUACUUAAAUUUCUAAAGGUGGACAUAGCCAUCCAACUUAUUCAUUUAAUUUCCUAUGGAUUAGCAUUACCACCUAAUUACUAAUUGACAAUUAUGGUGGAUUGGCAAAGUCACUCAAAUAUUACUUGUUGUAAUGUUUAAUAGGUCACACGCAUUCCCAACAACUAGUAUUAGAGCGUGAUUAGGAAGUUCAAGUUCGGGUAGAAUCAUGGCCGAAAAUUAUUUGGGUACCAUGAUUAAAUUUACAACUACAAAUUACUCAUUUUGGAAAUCCAUGAUGGAGGAUUUCCUCAAUUGCAAGGAUUUAUAUGAUCAUAUUGAGGGAGAUAAUGCUAAGCCAAGUGAAAUGCCAAAUGCAGAUAGAAAGAAAUUAAAGAAGAAAUCAUUGGGUUCUAUUUUCCAAUGGGUGGAUAUUAGUCUUUACAACCAUGUUGCCAAAGAGACGGAUCCCCAAACUCUUUGGAAGAAUUUGGAGAGCAUGUAUGAGAAAAAAAACGCACAAACAAAAAUUUUAUUAAUGCAAAAGCUGAUAAAUUUAAAGCUAAAGAAGGGAUGAUCAUUUGUUGAACAUUUGAAUUAUUUUGAAGGUUUGAUCACUCAAUUACCUAUUGCAGGCCUUUCUCUUGAUAAUGAGACCCAGGCAUGCUUGCUACCCAGUUCAUUACCCGACAGCUAGAAUACUUUGGCGGUACUAUGGGAAAUUUAGCCCUAGAAGGAAAAGUCACAUUGGGUAUGGUUAGAAAUAGCAUAUUCAAUGAGAAAAUUCAAAAGAAGGAUUUGAUGGGCAAUGAUACACAUGCCCUUGUCACGGAGAACAGGGGUAGAAGUAUAAGCAAAGGACGUUAUGGGCAAACAAAUUAAGAGGUAGAUCAAAGUUUAAAGAGAAGAUAAAAUGUUAUCAUUGUGGUAUAAUAGGCUACAUGAAAAGGAACUGUAAAUUUCUAAAAUAGGGAAUAGAUAAGAACCAGAAGCGGGUAGACGAUAGGAAUACCACUACUACCACCUCUACCAGUGACAACAAGGUGACCUUACUCUACAACCAAGAAGAUUGUUUUCAUGUAGCAGAUCAAGAUGACGAGUGGAUAGUGGCUCAGCAGCAUCAUACCACUAUAUUAAAAAUAGAAUAUUUUUCCAUAUACAAAGUGAGAGACUUUGAUGUUGUGAAAAUGAGAAACACAAGUGUUUCUCAGAUUGUGGAGAUUGGCGACAUCUGCACACAAACAAGUACGAGGUACACAUUAACAUUAAAAAAUGUGUGACACUUUCUAUGUCUACAUUUGAACCUAAAUAUGUAUGCUAGACAAGGAUGGAUAUAGCCACUUUAUUGGUAACAACAAUUGGAAACUCACCAAAGAAUCUUUGGUGGUGGUAUGAGGUAAAUUAUGUUGCUUAUUGUACAAAACACACGUGAAAGUGUGUGAAAGUCAACUAAAUGUAGUUGAAGAUGAUGCUUCUCCAUAUUUAUGGCACAAACAGCUGGUGCAUAUGAGUGAGAAAGGGUUACAACUUUUGGCCAAACAGUCCCUCAUUCCUAUGGUCAAAGGCAAUCAAACCCUUAUGAUUAUUGUAUAUUUGGAAAGCAUCACAGAGUUUCAUUCCAGAAUAAUUCCAAUCAAAAAUUGGAGAAAUUGGAAUUAAUGUAUUCUAAUGUUUGUGAAUCCAUGGAAAUAGACUCGUUGGGCGGUAACAUAUACUUUGUUAGUUUUAUUGAUGACGCUUCAUGGAAAAUGUGGGUAUACCUGAAGUGUACAAAAAAAAAUCAGGUAUUCCAGUAUUUUCAACAAUUUCAUGCCAUAGUAGAGAGAGGAGAGAAAUCCACUAAAGCUUCUUCGAAUAGAUAAUGGUGGAUAGUACAUCUUUAAAGAUAUUGCUCAAAGCAUGGAAUCAAGCAUGAGGAGACGGUUCUUGGUAUGCCACAGCACAGCAGCGUUGCUGAACGGAUGAAUCGAACUAUUAUGGAAAAAGUCUAGUGUAUUUUGAAAAUAGCUAAACUUCCUAAGUUAUUUUUGGGUGAAGCUAUCAACACCGCUAUUUACCUAAUUAAUAGAUCACCAUCAGCUCCUUUGGACUUUGAUAUUCCUGAGAGAAUUUGGACUGGAAAUGAUGUUUCAUACUCUCACUUGAAGGUGUUUGGAUGCAAAGCAUUUUUACAUGUACCCAGGGAGAAAAGAUCAAAGCUUGAUAAUAAAACAAUUCCUUGUAUUUUCGUUGGAUAUAGGGAUGAGAAAUUCAAAUGCAAGCUGUGGGAUUUAGAAAAGUAAAAGAUAGUCAGAAGUAAGGACAUCGUGUUUCAAAAACACGAGACCAUUGAAGAUAUGGAGAAAAACGUGGGUAGUGCAAAACUCACAUAUGAAGGUGUUGCAAAUUUAACACCAAGGCAGACUUCAUUAGAGAGUACUACAAAUGAAACAAAUAUGUAAGGAUCAUAACAAGGAACAAAAAUGGAAAAACCAACCAUUGGGGAUGAGAAAAAUGUAGACGACAAUAAUACAAGAGGUGCUAACCAAGGGAGCAAACCCUUUCACCAGAAAAAGAACCUCAAUUAAGAUAAACUACUGGAUAACUUCAAUCAUCUACAAGGUAUCCCAAUUCUAAGUAUAUUUUAAUUACUGAUGAGGGAGAACCUGAAAGCUUCUAGGAAGUGCAAUCUCACAAAGACAAAGACUAUUGGAUAAAAUUCAUGCAAGAAAAGAUGAAUUCCUUGUGGAAGAACCAUGCAUACAAGUUUACAGAACUACCAAAGGGGAGGAAAGCACUCAAGAACAAAUAGGUGUUCAAACCAAAGAAAGACAACAAGAAGUUGUUAAAGUACCAGGCUCGAUUAGUGGUAAAAGGAUUCGGUCAAAAACAAGGUAUUAAUUUUGAUGAAAUAUUUUCAUCUGUUGUGAAAAUGUGUUCAAUUUGAGUUAUACUGGGAUUAGCAGCAAGUAUGAAUCUCCAAUUAGAGCAACUCGACGUAAAUACUACAUUUUUACAUGGUGAUCUUGAUGAAGAGAUCUUUAUGGAGCAACCAGAAAGCUUCAAGGUUAAAAGGUAGGAGAACAUGGUUUAUAGGUUAAAGAAAAGCCUAUGUGGAUUAAAACAAGCACCAUAAAAAUGGUACAAUAAAUUUGAUUCUUUCAUGAUGAGUCAAGAGUACAAGAGAAUAGUUGCAGAUCCAUGUGUAUAUGUUCGGAGAUUCCUUGACGAUAAAUUCAUCAUUCUCUUAUCAUAAGUUGAUGAUAUGAUGAUUGUAGGACAAGUUGCAGAUAUGAUUUGGAAACUAAAAAGGGAAUUAUUAAAGACAAUUGACAUGAAGGAUUUGGGUAUUGCAAAGCAUAUCUUGGGGAAGGAGAUCCUACGAGAUAUAAAUUGACAAUUUUCUUCCAUUUCUUAUUAAUUACGAUGAACUUAUCUUUAUAGGUCUUAACAACUAAAAAAACUUUGAGGUACCAUAGGAUUGAGUUUAGGAAGGUAAAAAGUCAUCAAAUUUGAGGAAAUGAUGUAUUUUUGGUAUAGUAAAGUUUUUUUAAAUGGUAAAUAUAUGCAAAAGUGUUGAAAAGGCAAUUGAAAAUAGCUUGAAACUUGUGAAAUUGGAUAAUGUACUUAGUGGAAGUUCAAAUAGAUAAGAGGGGCAUUCAAAUAGUUUGUUAUUUUUUAAAGUUUCAAAUUACAUUUUGAAUUACAAAAGCCUUGAUUUUAAAGAGAUAUAAAAAUUGGAAACUCUUCAUAUUUAGGGUUUAGGUUUCUUGAGUAUAGAAUUGUUUCUUUCAACUUAUGUUUCCUAAGAACAUUCAUAUUAUAAUGAAUUGCAUAAUAUUUAUGAAAAAAAAAAGUACAAGCAAUCUAAACCAUACCUAUUAUAAGAUAGUUCCAAAAUCUCCCACAAAGAUCUUUGUCACCUUCCUGGUAAGAUAUGAUCAUUAGAAGUACAAAUUAAUAAGUUAAAAAGUCUUAUCCACUUCAAGCAUUAAUUCAAAUAAUGAAUUAUUAAUUAAUUAAUUAAUUCUUCUAAAUUUAAUAUUGUCUUAGAAGAAAUUAAAUCUUAUGGAUGUUUUAGGAGAGUUGCUCACUUAGCAAAGCCAAAUGAUUAUAGGUUGGAGUCCCACCAGGAAAAAAUAGAAAAAGGAAAAAAAAAAGUUUACCAAUAAAAGAAAAUGCUACCAUGUAGCUAGUAAAGAAAAUGUGAACUAUACAUUUUUUACUUAACUAAUAUGAUAUAGAUCACAAUCUCUCUCCCAUAUACAUAAUUUGUAAUGUCUAAACUUAUUUAAUUAAAAGAGGUGGAGCAAGUUUAAACCCUCAUAAGUCAACUGAAAAUGAUGCCCAAUCAACUAUUUAUACUAAUGUGACUAUUAUAAAAAUAGGAGUACACAUGUAUGAUAUGUAGAUAUAUUUUGAAGCACAAUGGUAGAUAGCAAAAAGUAGGAGAAAGUGUCUUCACCCAUUGAAAUAUAUGUUCCACUUUUAUGGGUGUUUGCUCAAAAUAAUGCUCGAUAAACUAUUUGUACUUAUAUGAUUACUAUGAAAAUAAGAGUAUGUACCUAUGACACGCAAAUAUAUUUUAUAGUAAAAGUACCAUAGGAAAUAGCAGAGAAUAGCAUAAAUGUCGUCACUCACUAAAUCUAUGUUUCAUCUACUAAAAUAAAUUUUCUUUAACCUUAAAGUAGUAUUUUAGAGAAGUUCAUAAAACCUUAUCAAUUGUUGAGGUAAGCUAAACAAGUUGAAUGGAAAAUAUAAGAUAGUUAUGUUGUGCACUAAAGUGUAGCGAAAAAGAACCUUUGUAGAAGCAACUUGGUUAGGUCAUGCCUAAUUAUUGGCAUGACAAUUUGGUCUUUAAAGAAUUUCUAUAUAUAGCUCCAAUAUAUUGAUUAACUAUGUCAGCAUUUCAUCACUACUAACUAUGGUUUUAUUUUGCGCACCUUAUAGAUUCUAGGAUAUGCCUCCACUCUUAAAUGGCCCACUUCUCUAAAGGUGUGAUAUUUUAAUGUAAUUUUGUUAUGCACUACUACCUUUUCCCAAUCUACUUAUGUAGGAAUUUUCAUGUCUAUAACCCUAAAGACUAACCAAUUAAUAUUUAGGCAAACUUAAAUUAUGUUAGAAUUAAUUCCCUCUAAAGUAUGCAUGAAAAACUACAUGAAAGUCAUAGUGAGUACUAGAGUUUGAAGUAUAUCAAUCAAUUCAUUAACCAAUCAUUAUUGUCUUCUUGCUUGAAUUGGUAUCUAAUCCGUAUAUAAUCUCAUAAUUGAUCAACAAAUGUACCAAUAAGUUUGCAAUCCACAAAUAAAGUCCACAUUUGAUGUUAAUUUCACUUAUUCCAUUAUCAAGCUACUCAUGAUAAGCAUGGAUAAUCUUAUAGUGUCCCUAAUAUAUUUGCUAUAAAAAAAAGUCAAUUUUUUUAUCCAAUUUACUAGUUUAAUGGAGUUACUUUUAAAAAAAAAUGUCAAUAUUAGUAAUUAUAAUAUAUCUAUCCAUAGCAUAGGCUAUUGGAAUUAAAUGUGAUUGUUUAGCCAUAAUAGAUUUAAUGUAUUUUAUUAAUAAUGGAGUCAAAUUUAAAACUUGUGUUGUAAUAUUAGAAAGUUAAAUGCUAUCAAACACUUAGGAAUAUUUAGUUAUGAAAGACCAUAGACUUUGUAUAAUAUGCACAUCAUAGAAUUUAAUAAAUUUGAUUCUUCACACACACACACACACACACACAUAUAUAUAUAUAUAUAUAUGAAUAAAAGGCAAAGAUGUUGCAUAGGUAUUUUUCCAUUUGAAGUCUCAACUAAAGAAAAAAAAAAUUCAAGAAUUGAAUAAACAAAAUGAAGGCUUUACUUGGUUCUUAAAAUCAAGGAUCAAAAUUCAGGAAUUAAUGAAAUAUUAAUGGUUGGAUUUUUUUUUUUAGAAGGAAGAUAAUAUUGACAGUAAUAAAAAAAAAUCUCAAUAGGAAGGAAAUUAAUUAAGACUCAAAAAAAUAUUUAAAAAAUUCUAAGAAAUCAUCAAACAAGUAAAAAUAACAUAUAAAAUUAUUUUAUUGAAAAUAUAAUAUAUGUAUGAUAAAAUUGGUAAUAUAUAUUUGUGUUUAUUUUGUAUUUAAGUUUUUAUAUUUUCAAUAAUCACUCAAAUGAGAAAUAUCAUUGAUAUAUCACAAAUAGAUAUUAUAUAUUAAGUCAUAAAUAUUAUAACAAGGGCAAAGUUGCCCCACCAGUAAGGUGCUUCCAUACAAGAGGGAUUUUUAUAUUUUAGGGGCACUAUUGAUGUUGUGACACGUAAAAAAAAUUCCAAUGGCUAAAAUCUUUUUUUAGCCAUUGAUCGACAAUUAAUCCAAAAACUUGUGACAAUAAUUUUUUACAAUAAAUGAUAAAAUUUAAUUCUUACUCAAGAAAUAUGUGAGGCCAUGAAGGAUGCAUUGGAGAUAAUGGAAACCUCUUUAAAAAAGUUAAAAGGUUAAGAAAAGUUUUAGCUUUAUACUUUUUGAGGAGAAUUUUGAAGUUUUACAUAUGAAGAAAUCUAAGUCAAUUUCCAAUUACUUUUUCAAGAGUAUUAGUAAUUUUGGAUCAAUUAAAAGAAAUAUUGAAAGUUUGAAUGGUAUUCAAGUGAUUGAAAAGAUCCUUUCAUCUUUUAAUCCAAGAAGUUAUUAUGUUGUUAUCAUUAUUCAGAAGUCCAAAAAUCAUGAUCCCAUGACCAUUGAUUAACUCGUAGGAUCUUUACAAGUCCAUGAAUAAUAUUAAAAUGAAAGAAGAAAGAAAAUUGGAGCAACUCCUUCAAAUCAAUUUACUUUAUGGUAAUGAAAUAAGUCAAAGUAAUCUUGAUGGUAGACAUGGAAAAUGUGGAACACAUAAUUACAAUUCAUUCAACAAUGAAAAAAGUCAAUAUUGUAAUUCUAUAGAAGGACAGAAUAUGGAGCAAUGGAAAAUGAAAUGAGAGGGCAAGGUAUGAAAAAUAUUAAAUUUAAUGUCACAAUAGAUAAUAUUUCUCUAUUUUUCUUUAAUUUUGUGGAUUAUUCAAAUCCUAUUUGUUGAUAACAAUAAAAGAAUAGAUAAAAAGAAUUAGAUUAAUUAUUUGGAUUUUUUGUUACCUCGAAAUGUUCUUGUAAGUUUUAUAGCAUUGUCUCAUUUCAUUUGAACUUUUCAAAGCAAAUGAUAGAGAUAUGUGAUUAAAACUCAAACUCAACACUCUAAUGGCUCUAAAAGGCUUAUUUUAGUAUGGUUGAGGAACUUAUAAUUGAUCCACUACUUACUUUUGUUUUUAAUACCUUAGUCUUUUAUAUUUGAUGUUUUUGUGAGAAUUAUGUAGGUCUUCAAGGUAUUUUAAAGUGUGUUAGAAUUUUUUAGGAGGAUUUGAAUGAAGCUUAAAGAGUAAGAAAACUUAAGAAUUGGAGAAGAGCUAUCUAAAGUAGUUGACACAUCUAAGAGACGCGUCAAACUGAGGCCACACACCUCUCAAAUAUGUUAGGUAAAUUGUUCAUCACUUAGAUGACUCAAGUUUCACAUCUCCAAGCUCAUUUAAAUUAUGCACUACCUCCAACUCACUUAACUUAUGCACCCCAACUCACUUAAAUUAUGCACCACUUUCCUCCAACUAAGUAGCUCACCUUCAUUAAAACCAACCUUGCAUCCUUCUUCACACUUGGAACUCCUCCAACUACCACCUUUGCACACCAUCUUCUCCAACAUCCUAUGCAUGCUUCUAGUCACCUUCACCAAUUGGCACACCUUGAAGAACAAUGAUGGCGCACUUUAGGGAUAUUCACUAGACAAGAUGGAAGAAUUUUUACUACCAUUGUAUGCACCCUAAAGAAUACACAAGAGCAUAGCAUGCAACUUUUAAAAGGGUGAGAACUAAGUGUCAAGCACAAGGUAGAGAAGAAAGCGAGCUGCAGAUGAAUGACCAAGCCAAUCUAUGAAAGCCAAGGUGGUUGAACCAGUCACCAUGCUAGUCGUAAUAUCAUAACAACCCAACAUAGUGUUCAAUUAGAGGAACAUCUAAGUAGAAAAGACUUACAAAAUUAUUAUAUAUAUAUAUCUUAACCUCAUUUCCAACUCUUAUUGCAUAAAUCAUGGUCCAAUAUUAACAUAUAAUGAGAAUCUCAAGGUACUUGGAGAAACAAAAAAAAAAAAGUAUUCACAUUGAGAAUUUUUCCUUAAAUCAUUCUCACACACUACGCACUACAUCCGUCAGUGUUAAAAUACUAGAGUUCCCAAGGAAGGGAAGUUGGGGCAAAUUGAGGAAAAGAAUGAUAUAUUGCAUAAAGGAAACGAAGAUUAAUAAAAAGAUCUAAUGCCACUUGCAUCCCGUAUGAGGUUUUAGCGAAGCAAAAAACUUGAGAAAUCCAUUUCCAUCACUUGAAGCUUAGUUGUAGGUUCUCAGGGGUGCUUUAUCACUCAAUUCCUUAGACAGACUAGUAUGGGAUUCAUAGGCUAAGUAACAAGGAUAUGAGAAUGUUUGUAUUCCUUUAUGUUGAAAAAAAUGUUGGAACAUUAAAGCAAUGAAUUAAAUCUAGAAGAAUGAAGUUUGCUCACAAUCCAACCUAAGGAACUGAGUAUAACUAAGAGUAAAGGAUGCCUAUACAGUUCUUGCUUUUCAUUUAAUUUUCAUCAUACUUAGCUAGUUUUACACUUCAAAGGGUAAGUAAAGCCAAGAUUUUUCCAUAUCCCAUUUCAAAUCUCUAGUGAUUUGAUUUGUGUAAGACUCAAGUAAAGCUAGCCUUUUGUAGUGGUUAUAUUGACCAAAAGGAGUAACCAUGCAAAACAAGUGUAUGUUGUCAUGGUUGUGAGGGUUGCAAGUUAACAAACCUUAGGAGAAUGCCUAAGGGAUCAUAGUAUUGAUUUCCUUGAGUAGAGCACAAACCUACUAAGUUGAAAUGAAACCCAACAAAAGCAUCUAGUUGCAAGGCCCUAAACAAGAGCAACUAGAGUGAGUUAAGCCUUUUUAAGAUGGUUCCCAUUCCUCUUAAGUAUAUACUUUUUGGUAUAAACCCUUGGCUUAGACUUAGAGUCACAAACACUAAUCUAACGCCUUGUAAGAGAAUUAUAGAUAGAAAUGGUGAUUUCAAUGGAUCUCCACUCUUAAAGUCUGUUUUCUUUUAGUUUUUUGUUUUUAAAUUUCAUGUUUUAUCCCAUGACUUCAAGAGAAGCAAUUCUAUUUGAGCUCCUAAACUACAUUCAUACCUCUUGCUCUUUAUCUUUGCUACUCUCAAGUAGAAGUCCCUAUGGAGACAAGCUAACUACUAUACAAGCUAUUAGUUCUUUUUAUUUUUGGUUCAAGGACUAAGAGUUUCAACAACUAAGUUGGUUUCAUUUAUUCAUGUAAAAACUUUGUUGUAAAAUCUACUAAAAGCAUAGGUCUUCCUAAGAAAAUUGUGGUCGUGAUAGAGAUAGAUUAAAGAGCUCUUGCAAUGCUUUAUUCAUCUAAUCUUUUCAUUCAAAUAAUAGAAAAAAUUCAUAGCUAUCUUCUUCGAAAGCCUAAUUUUAUGUUUCAUUAAACUUGGUAUCUUUUACUAAACUUAUAACCUUUAAAGUAUGAGUAUCAUUUCUUCACAAUAAAAUGAAAUAGAUAGAUUUAUUCCUGACAUGAGUUGAAGCAUGAUAAAGAGUAAGAAAAAAUAAAUCUAUUAUUGACAUAACUUGAAGUAUGAUAAAAUAUAAGAAAAUAUCUAAUAAAUUUUAAACCAAAGAGGUUGAUUACAUGUAGUCUACAUAACAUAGGAUUGUCUUAGUGAAAGAAUAUUGUGUAUCUCGCUUGAGAAUUCUUUUUAAAGUAUUGAAUGUGCCCAUGUGCCAAAAGAAACUAGUAAAAGUUAGAUAUCAAGAGUGAACUUUAUUUUUAUUUGCUAUGACUCAUACUCUAAAUAUUACAAGACUAGUAGAGAUUGCAAGUUUGAUGAAAUGUGGGAUUCAUAUGUCAAAGAAGAUGACUAUGAAUUUUUUUCCUUUUUUUUAAGAAGAAGACAAGCGAAUAAAGAGUUGUAAGAGAUCAUUACUCCUCUUCUAUCACCACCAUCUACUUAUGAAGACUCAUCUCCAUCGUCUUUAUUGAAAAGUACAAAUAAAAGUGCAUAAUAUUACAAGAGCCUAUAAAAAUGUUUUGAGGUAAAAAGAAAUAAAUAAAAAAUCUAUUGUUUUUUUUUUAUCUAUUUUCUUAUUAUGACCGAUCAAUAAGGUUUGAAGAAGGAAUGAAAAACAAAGAGAUGGAGAGAUGCUAUCAACAAAUGAUAUAUGGGAGUUAAAACCAUUACAAAGCAAUAUUAGUGGCUAAAGGUUACAAAUAAUAACAAAAUAUUCAUAUGAUAAUUGAUUAAAAAAUUACAAAUCAUGCAUCAGACAGCUUUAACAAAUUAGUGGAGAAAUGUCAUCCAAUGGACCUUUUGUUUUUUUUUUUUUUACUUUUUCACCAUUUUUCAUGAUUUAUUUUUUUUCCUAUUUCUUGAUAUUUUGGAAAUUCUUCAAAUAUCUCACUACCGCACAUGAAAUUAGCUCAUUGUGUGUCGUGUUCUCACCGUUUGUGCUCCAUGUUUGGCAUGAAUUCCUUAGUGCCAUGUUUGGUAAGAAUUCAAAGGGCAAGAAUGGCAAGCAUCUAGCUCAAAAGAUAGACUACCCUUAUUACAUUUUUUGUAAUUAUGUAUAUAAUUAUACCUAUACAAUUUUCAAAUUUCUUUGAACUCAUUAUCCAUUAUUAAAAAUAUAAAAUACAUGAUAUCAAAAAUAAUUCAAUAUAAAUUUAUGAUAUAACUACAAAUAUUUUUUUUUAAUAAAACAUUAUUACACUUAUACCAUCAUGUUUUAUAUAGUUUACUAUUUUAGUAUAAAAUAUAUUGGCAAGUUCCAUAUAUUAUUGUCAUAUAUAUACAUAUACACACACAUAUAUCCUUCUCUAUUUUAGGAAAAUUCCUUUUAUACAUAGUAAUUCAAAUCAAUUUCAAAUCUCCUACUAACUAAUUUAUAGUUGUACAUGAAGUGUUUUAAAAGGAGAAAAGCCCUAAUUAAUUUAUAAUUAUACAAGAGAAGUCCUAAAAGGAGAAAAAGUCCUAACUGAUUUACAAUUGUAUAAAAAGGGUCCUAAAAAGAGAAAAAUCCUAAAUUAUAAGACCCAAACUUGCAAAACUUCCCCUCAAGUUGGUGAAUGGAGAUUCUUUAUUCCCAACUUGCCUAUAAUUCCUUAAAAUGUGGUAUUAGCCAAUCUUUAGUUACAACAUAUACAAGUUAGCCACGUUGAAAUGUCAAUCUACUUCCACAUGCUUUAUUUGAUCAUACUAUACCAUAUUAUGAGUAAUGUUGAAUGCAGACUUGUUAUCACAGUAAAGUCUCAUAGGGUGCCUCUACUUGAUUUUAAGAUCAUCUAAAAUAAUCUUAAGCCAUAAUAGUUCACAAAUUCCAUAAGCCAUUACUUGAAACUCCACCUCAACACUAGAUCUUGUGACCUCUAGUUGUUUUUUACUUUGCCAAGUAUCAAGAUAUCCCCUAAGAAAAGUAUAGUCCCCUAAGGUUGAUCUUCUAUUUAAAAUUAAUACAACAUAAUCUGGAUCCAUGUAGGCUUUCAGGCACAACUUCAUAGCUUGUUUGAAUAACAACCUUUAUCGAAUAUUCAUUUAAGGUAGUACAUGAUUCAAUAAAUAGCUUAAAGAUGAGUGUAUUUGGGAUUGUGCAUAAAUUGACUAACAAUGCUCACAACAUAUGCAAUGUCUAGUCUAAUAUGUGUUAAGUAAAUUAAUUUGCCCACUUGUCAUUAAUACAUGGCACAAUCUACAAUCCUAUCCUCCAAGGCCUCUGCUAAUUUAUGGUUUGGGGUUGUCCACUAGCUUGCAUCCAAGUUUCUUGGUUUCUUUAAGAAGAUCAAUAACAUAUUUUGAUGGUGAAAUAAAGAUACCCUCCUUGGAAUGAGCCACAUUGACUCUUAGGAAAUAAUUUAAUCUAACAAGUUCUUUAAUCUCAAAUUCUCUAGUUAAAUACUAUCAAAGAGCCUCAUUUUCUCUGGAUCAUUACUAAUCAUAAUAAUAUCAUCCAUAUACACCAACAAAGUUAUCACUCUCUUUAAAGUCAAAUGCUUAAUGAACAAAGCAUGAUCACCUUGACUUCGUUUGUAUUUCAUGGCAAACAUCACUUUAGAAAAUCUCCUAAACCAUGUUCUUAGAGAUUGUUCUAAGUCAUAUAAGGCUUUCUUUAAUUUUCAAGCAUUGGGUCCACCAAGACUUUUGCAAAAUCCUAGAGAAAUUUCCAUAUAGAUAUCUUCUUCUAAGUCCUCAUGCAAAAAUACAUUUUUUUUACAUCAAAUUGUGGUAAGCUCCAACCAAAAUUAGCUACUAAUGAUAAUAACAUCCUUAUGAUAUUUAUAAUAGCUAUGAGAGCAAAGGUUGCUCAGUAAUCAACCUCAUAGGUUUGUGUUAGCCUUUUAUUACUAACCUAGUCUUAUAUCUUUCUAGUUAUACUUUAUUAUGUAUACCCAUUUACACCCAAAUGGUUUCUUCCUCUAAGACACCUCUGCUAUUUCCCAUGUUCUAUUUUUCUCUAAGGUCUUCAUCUUAAACCUCAUGUCUUGUCUCUAAUUCUCAUUAUUUAGUGCCUCGAAAAGGUUUUGUGGAGUGAUGAUGGUGUACAAAUGAGUGAGAAAAUUUUUAUGGGAGUGGAAGAAGUUAUCAAAAGACAUAAAUAAUGACAACAGAUGUUCUUAAUGGUAAUGGUUAAAUCAAGAUCAUUGUCAACAUUUGAAGUACUAGGAGAGAUAGAGCUAUUACCUAGCCUUAGUUCAGACUCUUGAGUAUACAUGGGUUCAAUGGUAAUUGUUCUUCUUGUUGAGUAAACUUACAAUGGUUUUAUAACAAUAGUUUCUAGACUAAUGUUAGUAAAAGGAUCCAAUUCAUUUUUUUUAAAACUGGUUUAAUUCAAGCAUUGUGGCAUUAGGAAAAGAUUAGAUCAUGUAGUCUAUGUCUCCUGAGUCAAUGACCCAAGAGCCAAUGAAGGAUAAAUAUGAGGCCCUUAAAGUAUGAGAAAUAAAAUAUUGCCUUAAAGUAUGAGAAAUAGAAGACUUGCUUGUUUGUGCCAAAGAAGACAUAAUUAUUUAUUCAGAGUACCAAAAAAAUAUCUUAGCCUUUCUAUCUCUUCUUUGUUUAGUUCUCCCAAUUCUUCACUAUUGAAACUAUGUUUUUCUUGAGGGCCUCCUUCAAAAUUUGCCAUAAUUUCUUGAUUGUGAUUUUUCCAUGCUUUAUUUUCCCUAUUCUAAUCCAAGUUUUAAGGUUUUCCAUUAAGUUUCCUAUACUUCUCUUUGGUGUUUUAGGGCUUCUAGUAGUAAGUACACUAAAGUCCUUCACGAUUGAGAAUUUUCAACUUAUCAAGACGCCCAGUUUCUCUAGCAAGAUUUAAGUUGAAUUUGUUUGGCAUUAUAGCAACCAUGGAAAAACCAUGAAUAAAAUAUGGUUCAAGCAUCACACCUCUCUGAUUUUCUUUAGCACAAAUGAUGGAGAUGAUUUCAUUCAUGGCUAGAGGCUCCUCUUUUCCUAGAACUUAGACCCAUACUUGGUUAAACUAUAAAUUGGGCCUAGCAAGAAAUUCAAAAAUUCAUUCUUUUUCUAUAAUUUUUUUUAGCACUAUUGCAUCUUCACGGCAUUUAAUUUGAAUGUUAUGGUAGUAGUCAAUUUCCUAUCACAAAUUCUUCAUAAUAUUGGCAAGUUUAAUUACAAAUCUAGUUCCUUAUUUUAUAGUUGAAAUCUUCACCUUGAUUUGAAAAUUUGAGUAGAAUCUCAUAUCUUUGAAUAGGUUUGUGGAAUGGCUUUGUAAACCUCCCUAGUUGUUGUAAAAAACAUACAUGUUCCACUAAUUUUAGGGGACAUUGAAUUCCAUAACCAAGACAUGAUCAUAGAAUCCUUUUCAUUCCAACUCUAAAAUUUUAGAUUUCCAAGUUUUAGUCCUAUGCCAAUUAAAUGGUUCAAUUUUCCUUUACCCUUUAGGGAGGUUCACACUAACUAAGAAUAUUGAAGAUGAUUCUUCUCAAUAAGGUGCUAAGUAGCUUGGAAGUUCUACAAUUCCCUCGUGGUUUAGCUUAGCAGCGCUUUGAAUAUCGCCUUAAUAGAACUCUGGUAGUAGAAGUGUGGUUCAAUAUUUCAAACAUAAUAGUAGUGAUGAAUGGAGACAAAAUGAAUAAUAAAUAAAUCAACAAUGAAACUCAAGAAAUCAAAACACCACAAAAAACUUCAAGUAAGGAUAGGUAGCACUCAAAGUUUUCACCAAGCAUACAAAGAAACCAGAGAAAGCUUUGAUACCAUGUGAAAUUCUAAAUUAAAAUCAAGAGAAACACACACACACACACACACACACACACACACACACACACACACACACACAUAUAUAUAUAUAUAUAUAUAUAUAUAUAUAUGUAUGUAUGUAUGUAUGUAUGUAUGUAUGUAUUAAACCAACUUCAAUGUGUAUUAUUAUUAUCUAUUUUACCUUUUUUUUUCAUAUUUAUGUAAUUUUCAUAAUUUUUUGUCUUAAAAAGAUUUUUUUCCAAAUUUUUGUUCAAUUUUUUUUAUAUUUCCUAAUAUUUCUAUAAAACUCAACUAUUGAUAUUUUCACAAUUUAUGAUAUUUUAAUCCUUGAUCAUGAUGUCAUAAUUUUUUUUUAGUUACAGUCUAUAGAAACCAUAAGAUUAUAAUUUCUUUCAUAGCUUAAAAUACAUGGAAAUUUUGCUAAAAGUGUGAUCAAAAUCAAUUUUUUAAAUGAAUGUCAUAAAGAAAAAUUAUAUAUGAAACAAAUCAUGGGUUAUAAAGUAAAAGGAAACAAAAAUAAAGUUUUGAAUUGUACAAAAGCUUUGUAUAACUUCAAGUAGUAACGGGUCAAGAUCAUGGAAUAGUAUUUUGAUAGAUAUUUUCAAUAUAGUAUUCUUACUAAAUAUCCUGUGACGAUGUGCUUUACACAAAGAAAAUAAAAAUAUGAAAUACUUAAUUUUUACCAAAAAUUAUCUAAGCACGGAAGUGCGAGAUAGAGGAAAACAUCCAAAGCAAGAUUACAUCAAAAGGGAUCUAAACUAAUCUAAACUAAAACAUGAAGAAAUCUAAACCCUAAAAAUAUAUCAAAGAGGCCUUAAGACAAACCCCUCUCCAACUGCAAAAUGGGAUAUUUAUACCAUUCCAAGGUUGCCUUAACGUGGAGACAUGUUGAGGAAUUUUAAUCCCAAAGAUUUAAAGGAUAUGAGAAAAUUUCCAAAAAAAAAAAAAAUGUGUCCAAGCAUAAACAAUUAUUUUAAUAGAGAUGGUGCCACCCUUACAAAAGCAUUGCACCCAAAGUGGCAAUAAGCAAAGGGGAGGUUGCAAAUUUGGGCACCAUGGGUCAUCAUCCCAAGAUGGAAAAUGGCAUUGUGCAUUCUCUCCUCCUCCCUUUCCCCCCUCCCCCCCUCCCUCCUCUNNNNNNNNNNNNNNNNNNNNNNNNNNNNNNNNNNNNNNNNNNNNNNNNNNNNNNNNNNNNNNNNNNNNNNNNNNNNNNNNNNNNNNNNNNNNNNNNNNNNGUAGCACAAAUUUGACUGAUUGGACAAUACAAUGAUGCAAAUAUCACACAGAAUUGAUUUCUACUUUACUGUCCCAACAAUAUUUGACAUCAAUCAAUGUGUUUGUUAGGUAAUUUGACAAAAUUUUAAUAAAAAAGCUUAACAUGCUAUAAGAAAAACCAAUUGAGAUCUAAAUGGACCAUAAAUUAGCAUCUACAUUGGCAAAAAACAUGAGGUUCCAUGAUCAAAACAAAAACAUUGACAAAAGAUAUCCUUUCUUAAAAAAAUGCAUAAUGAAGAAGUAAGUGGAAUUGAAGAACCUUGGUACUCACGAUUAAAUUUUUGACAUAUUCGUAAAAGUAUGAAUAUUUAGUAAGUCCAUUGUGCUAAUUGAUUUUUAUAUUAAUUGUGGAGACAAAUAUUAUAAUAUAUAUUAAACUUUUUAAUGUUACUUUAACUCCAUUGAUUGAUGGUCCGAGCAUAUUUUUACUUGGCUUUUUUACUUUGAUUAUAGAAACUUGAAUAUGGAAAUGACAAAGUUUAUGCUAUAAAUUAAUAAAUUUACUAUAAAAUAUUGAUACAACUACAAAAACAAUCAUGAUCCCAAAACAUAUGCAUUGUAAAAAACUAAUGCAUUAAUUAUUUGUGCAAAAGCAAAGUUCUCAAUUUGCAAGCAAAAUAUUUGUUCUCUUGUAAAUUAAAAAAAUGUUAUAUGACAAAACGUUACCAUGAGCAAUAAGUCGUCUUCAGAAACAUGUUGAACGCGAAGAGUCUUUGGUAUCUCAAGACAAUCUGGAAUUGAUGUCCUCAUUACAAAAUUCCAACUGGAAUAUAUUCAAACUAAAAUCAUUUAAAUUUGGCCCUUGGAAACUUCCAACAAGAAUUAGAACAAGAAUGUGAAUUCUUAAUUACCAUAAAACAAAGGACUCUGACUAAUCAAAUAUCAAUUAUUUAAGAAUGUGUAAUAAUAGUAAUCUUCUAUUAUGAAAUGUAUACAUUAGUCAGUGUUGGAAAGUAACUCAAAUUUCUAAUUAAUAUAUACUCACAUCUAUGAAGAAUAUUAUAUAGAAGAUCUCCUAUGUUGCUAUGUUAUUACAAUAUUAUAGUUUUUUUUUUAUAUAGGAUAAGGAAAGUUACUAGGAACAUCUCUAUAAAUAUUCUAGGUCAUAAGGAGGAAAAAGAAAUAAGAUGAAAUGGGUUUGUCUACAUGCUAGAUAGAGAUAUGAGAAAGAGUAGAAGACACCUAAUGAAAUGAAGGCUCAAGGUUCAAGAUGUAGAUAUAAGGAAUAAAGAAAUAUGAGAUUUUUUAGGACUUAACAUUGGUAUAUAAGGAACAAAGGUUCAAGAUCUGUAAUAUUCUCUAUAAUAUAGUAGAAUGAUUUCUCUUAUUAGUAGAUAUAGGAAUUGUUUUUAAACUAUGCUAAAACCUUUUAUUCCUUUGUGUGUUUUUUAUUUUAUCUUUAUAUUCUAACACUAAUAUAUCAGCACUAAAGCUUUCACUAGUAUGACAAAUUGGUGUCAAAGCUCAAAUUGAGAAUUCUAGAAGAAGCAAAGAGACCAAAACACAAAAGAAGAUUACAAAGGAAUUUUAGUUGAAGGUAGAGUCAGUUGUUCUCUCAUCAAAAUGUGAUACAAGAAAUGUGUUUUCGUUAUCCAAGAUAAGCAUAGUUUCUCCUGCACACUUAUUCCAUCUUAAAAGGUAGAAAUGAUGAAGUGUUUGAAUGAUUUAAAUCUAUAGCACAUGACGGGAUCAUGGCACAUGACAAGACUGUGAUGCACAAGGGUAACAAUGAUAUUUUAGGAGUGUGGCGCACAAUGGAAGUUAUGAUAUAUAGUAAGGAUUUGAUUCACAUAUGUUUAUUAAAGUGUGUAUCAAAGAUAGAUAAAAGAUAAACUUGAUAGAAUUUGAUCAAGAUGAUAAAGAGUUCAGAUUUCCUUUUAAGAUGGUUCUAGUUAGUACUAGAUUAGUGUUUGAGUUAAUUAAAAGAAAGCCAAUAUGCUUUGUACAUUGCAUCAAAUGAAAAAAAAAGAAAAAGAAAAAGAAAAUUAGUACACUCUUUGCAUGAUUUUAAUGCUCUUUGGUUGAGAAAUUUCUAGACUCAUAUUAAGGCAAAAGCAUUUAUAAUGUAUACGAAUAUAAAUUUUAGUAACUUCUAGUGAAGUGAUCUUUCUAAAUAAGAGAGUAGUAUUUAAUAAAUAAAAUAAACCUAGCUCAUUAAAAACCACAAAAGUAUCCUACACGAGCUCCCACUAGAAAGAACUUUUCAAUUCCAAAAUCUUGUACUUGAAAGUGUUUUGGAGUUUGAGUGCAAUAGACAACACUUUAGAGCACUUCAAGAAUCAAAAAGAACUUUUGGCUAGACCAAAAGUUGCACCAAAAUGGUGCUCAAAUUUGAAGGAUGCUCAAUGUGGAAUUAUUUAGAGUCAGAUACAAAUGGUUAUAUAUAAAUGAAGCGGAUUGGCUAAGGUUUUGUUCAAGGUGAAAUAUUAAUUAUUUUAUUGAUUUUGAAAGGUUCAUUUGAUCCUAACUUGCAAUUAGGACUUGAACCAUAACUUGAGAAGAAUUGAAUCAUAAUAUAAAUUUGAAUAUGUACUUAAUGCUCAACCAAGGAAGUAAUGCUUUUUGUUAAUUGUUGACAACAUUGAAGCUCAAAGGUACAGGACUACAGUGAGGAAAUUGGUAAUGCUUAUAUAUAUAUUAUGCAUUCUGUUAGUAACAUUCAAACUUUAUUACCUGUCUAUCAAUAUCACUUCAGCAUCCCUUAAUUUAGGAAAGAAAAAAAAAGGCUUAGAAUCUGCAUCAGAAAUUUGAUUUCCCUGUCAAGCAGUUAAAUUAUGCGUUAAAAAAAAGAAAAAAAAAAAAAACCAUGUCUUUUAUCUCUUUAUGUAAUAUAAAUAGGAUGAGGCUACCAACUUAUAUGAAAAAGAUGAUAAUUUUUGUAUUACCCAUCCAAGAGAAAUUGAAAUGUCAACUUGUGUUCCCAAAGGCAUCACACCAAUUAGCGGUGUCGGAUGGAGUUCCAUAUCACAGAAUGCUUGUAAAACCCGAUUUGUUGUAGCAUCGCCACCAAAAACCUGGUGAAGCAUACAUAUAUAGUCAUUAUGACGAGUUAAUUGAGAGAAACCCAACUGCAUAUAUCUUAUAUAUAUGUUAUAAUAAAAUAACAUUUACCAGUAUCUUUAGUACAUCUAGAAGGUUUAUGAUUUUUUGUUCUUUUCUUUUUAAACAAUCUAAUAGAUUAUUGCAUAGAAUAAAAGAAAAAAAAAUGAUAUAAUAAUUAAUGAACUUGUUUAAUAUUUUAUUAGAAUAAAUAAUUAUUCAAUUAGAGAGAAUUCUCCAUUUUUAAUUUCACUCGUAUCAUAUUUACUUAUGUCAUUCAAAUAAUUUUAAUAAAAGAGCUCAACAUCUAAACAGAAAGUUGGGGGAAAGCUUUUAGGCCGUUAGAAUUCUUAAGAGCCGAAGCCCAAAUUGGGGCCAAUUGAGUCACAAUUCCCAGGUGCGUUUUGAGGGUACAAAGGAAGGCUUAUAAUUGAAAUUUGAGACAAGAUUAAAUCUUAAAGAUCACAACUACUCAACUUACCAAUAUCCUCACUCUGUCUACAACCUCAGAAUCGCUUCUCAAUCCGAAAUACAGACGAAUGAGAUGUAAUGGCAAUUGAGGAACAACCUCUGAAAUGUCAGGAACCUGAAAAGUAAAGUUAUUCAAAGCAGCACUAAAACAAAUCCUCUGAAUCAAUCUUGAGGGUGCUUUAAAAUCUAACCAUUUUCAUUGGCCGGAAGAUGCUACGAAGAGAUAGGAGCAAAUCGUUCCCCUGAUUGGGUGGCCGGAAGAUGCUACGAAGAGAUAGGAGCAAAUCGUUCCCCUGAUUGGCAUCGUCUUUGGGGUUGAUCAUUACAUAAAAUACUAGUGGUUUGCCAUUUCCUAUUAACUCAAGUAAGUGCCUGCGACUGCCACAGUUAAUACACGUUUAGUAUAUGAAAAUAGGAAUUGGAAAGCCAUGAGUAUGGUUGAAUGCCCCAGGAUCAUUAGAGUAGAUGAUUUAAAGAAACAUAAGAAUCCCUCACUUAUCUUAAGGAUUAUCAAACAACAAAAUAAAAUAUACUCGCCUUUUCAAAAAUUUAUUAAAUAAUACGCCAUAUAUAUCUUCCAUUUUUAACAUUUCAAUAUUAAGUAUAUUUUAUUUAUUUUAAUAUAAAAUUAAAAUAUUAAUACAUUUAUAUAAACUAUGAGAAAAUGAAUAUUAUUGAUUUUAAUUUUUUACAUGUAUUUUAAAUUUCUAAAAACAAUAUUUUUAAUUCAAUAAAAUAUAAAUUAUAUAUUUAUAAUAUCAUCUAUUCAAUCACAAUUCAACCGCUCAACUAUAAAUGAGUAAAAUUUCAAAUUCAAUACUUUUAAAAUAUUAUUUAUAAAUUGAAGUAAUUCAAAACAAAAUUCAACAAAAGAGGCAAAAAUUCUUUUUGUUAUGUAUGUAAACACAAUUCUUAGAAAUUUUAGAAAAUGAAAUAAAAAAUUUUAAAAGAUAGUUUAAAAAAAAAUAUAUCGUAUGUGAAUAAUCAAAUAUUUUUUAUUGAAAGGAUAAUUUUUUUAAAAAAAUUAUAGAUAAAUACUGAAAAAAUGUAUCAAAAUAGUUAUUUUGACAUUUCUAAUUACUUCUUUUGUAAACCCAUACACUUCUAAGUCAUCUUCAAGAAUAAUAAUGUUCAUAAUUAACUAAAAAUAUAUGUCGUCAUUGUGAAUGCUAAUGAAGCAAAAUUCUAUAUUUUAAUAUAAAUAAUUGGAUUUUAACAUUCAAUAUAAAUCAUUGAUUAAUAAAAUAAAAUUUAAAAAAAAAAAAAAAAAAAAAAACUGAUUAAGGAAAGUGUCAAUCUCCUUAGCUUACUCAUUCAUCUCCUCUUACUCCAUUUUCUACAUGAAAAAAAUUCAUAAAUACUUGCCCUCAAUCUUAUAAUUUUUUUCCUAUUUAAAUUUUAUAGUCACCAUAAAAUCUGAACAAAAGUUUUUUUUCAAAUAAAAAAAAAAAGACCCCGCCGGCUUCAAUAAAUUCUCAAAAAUCAAAGAACAAACUCAAAAAAAACUAACUAAAUAAAAACAGUUACAAAAAUAAAAUGAAAUUAAUUAAAAUUAUAAAUGAAUAGACUCUAAUGAAAUCACUUUUGAAAAAUAAAAUAAUCUAAAAUAUGAUAUUUCUUUUUAUAUAUUUUGUAUUAUUAUUAUUAUUUUUAAAGGAAGAAAGAGAUAAUUGCAUCAUUUACACAUAAUUUAACCCAUUCCUUUAAUACGUUAUUUGGUAAUUGAUUGCUUAUUUAUAUAUAAAAUCUAGAGUAUUAAUCAAUACAUUAUACUGUAAACAAGUUCUUAUUUAAAUCUCAAAAAAUCUUAAAUAUAUAUAUACCAACAAUGUGAUUAGUAUAUGAAAAAUGUGAAAAUAUGAAAAUAGCAACCUACUUAAAAAUCAUGUGACCAUCAUAAAAAAUAUUAAAUUAGAAAGGUGGUAUAUAAAAUCAAGCUGAAAGCAUAGAAACUUACUCCCCUCCAUAGACUCGGUUCUCCAUAAUUGUGAAGAACGUUGUUGCAGCUAACGGGAGACCAUGAGAAUGGUAUAUCAUUUCAUCCUUCAUUUUCACCAUAGUGGGAUGCCCCAUUGGAAGCAAAUCUAGAUUCCUAUUAAUAAUGAGUUGCCAAAUAUCCUGAUUGGAAAAGGGCUGCAUACGAUAUAAAUUAUUGGGCCCAACCAUCCUCUUAGCCACACCAUGGAGUCUGGUUGUAAUGAUGAUGACUCUACUCUGAUUUGAUUUGUUACACCACUGGAGUCUCUCCUUUAACCUGAAGUACCAGUCCAGCUUGAUAUCCCAAAUUCCAUCAAACACUAAUAAAUAACUCUUACUCCACAAUGCUUUGCAGAGGGCCUCCAAUAGCUCCUCCUCCUCCACCUCCACACUAUCUCUUUGCCCACCAUCACACUGCUUCAGCAUAGCCUUGAGAAUCUUCUUAAAAUCUAUUUCUCCUUUCUGUAUCGCUUGUAAGUUGAUCCAAAUUUUGGAGCACUUAGAGACAUGGACGAUACGACUGUAGUCGAAAACUGUUCGGGCCAGAAGGGUCUUACCGCAACCCCCAAUCCCCACAAUUCCAAUUUCCUUACUAAAUCCUUCUCCAUCCAAUUCACUUGUACCCAGAACCAAUUUUUCUAUAUUUUCUAAUUGGUCUCCAAAGUAAUAACUGUGUAUCGUUGGUCCAUCAAUUGAUAAAGAGCCAGAAGAAGAAGAAGUUGUGGCUACAUCCGUGACGGCAGAAAGGGAAGUCUGCUCUGGUACUACCGGGUGGCUUGUAGCAACAAACAGCUUUUUCUUGAUGUGAAUCAGCUUCCUUUUUGUUUUGCACAGAAACCAUAGCUCAGGCAGAGAGUAGUGGCCUUGCCCUUGCCCUUGCUCUUGCCCUUGCCCUUGCUCUUGCUCUUGCCCUUGUGAGGAAUCCUUGUUGAUUUUCAUUUUGCGCUUCUCCAGGAAGAGGAUGCAGUCGGACAAUGCAAUGCUGAGGUCGUAAAGACAAUCCUUCAUUCCUGUCGACGGCUUGAUGCUUUUAGCUUUCAGAACCUCUCGAAUUUGUAGAAAAUAAGAAUGGAGGGGGAUGUCAUGAGGUGGAGGGUGUUCCUCCUCUGCUUCUUCCAAUUCAUCCAUGAAUUUGUUCUUCAAAAACUGAAGAAUAUCUGCUGACAUUUUGGCUGUAAAAACCUAAUCUCCCAACUCUCACAAUUAAUAUUUGCUUACAUCGGCGUAAGGCUUUUCUUGUUCAAAUGAAGAGAAUUUCUUGUGGUUGAAGGAAACGGACAAGAAUCCGAAGUAGAAAGAAAGAAAAAGAAAAGGAAGGAAAUUAAAGCAAAAGAAAGAGAUUUAUGCCGAUACUUACUUGUUUGACACUCCAAACUACAUGGAAUUCCCAUUGGUGAUGAUGCUGGGAAUUUGGAGGAUGAUUU
rnacentral:lncRNA from 1 species